rnacentral:lncRNA from 1 species
UUUUUUUUUUUUUGUUUUGCUUAUGAGUACAGCAUGUAAGCCCAAAUCGGAAAGGCCAAAAGUGCAAGUUGUUGAAUUGGCUUGAAGUAGAUGAAGUAGUUGCAAUAGGACGUUGGGUAACAAAUGAUCCUAAUGCAAUGGUGCAUUGUCUAGCUCUUGGAAAAAAUGCUUCUCGUGUGUGGGUAGAUGAGGUGAAAAAUCCUUCUGUUGAGUUGUGGAAAAAAUAUGCAGAUAUGGAAACAAUAGAAGAUGCUUUGGGAAGUUCAAUUGCAUGGCCAACAGAAGCGAUUAUUGUUAUGGAAGAUUAAUUUUGGUAUGAAUGGUUAAAAGUUUAAUUGAAGACAAUAUUUUGACUUAGUGUUUUGAUUAGAUGAUUUUGAUGGAUCCAAGGGUAGUGUUUUGGUUAGAUGAUUUUGAUGGGUCUAAUGGUAUAUAUCAUUGUUGGAGUGAUUAUUGGUAUUUGAUAAACUUGGCAUUCACAAUUUUGAAUGAUGUUUACUGUAAUGCUAGGUCUUCUUUUGGACAUUAACUUUAGUUUGUUUUUGUAUAUGUAUGAUAUUAAUUUUUUCACUCUUAAAAUACCUGAUGGUAUUUGUUGUUCAUGAAUUAAUGAAAUGUAGUUUAUUCCUUUUGUUAAAAUUGUCAGUUUUAAUUAUAAAUCAUAUUGUAUUCGAUUAUGUUAUAAAUAUCUGGUAAAUGCUAUAAAGUUAAAAAAAAAGUUACAAAAUUAACCAAGCACAAUAGCAUUCCAGAAAAGAUUAAUAUAGCAUUACCAAACUUCAUAAAAUGCUAUCAACAGUUUGUAGCAUAAAAACAUGUUAUGGCGUUUCGGCUAAUGCUAUAGACUCUUCGGCUAAAUUAUAACAUUGAUAUAAAUGCUAUAAAUUACUUGAAUAACAAUUAUUCCUUUAGCAUUUAAAAAACGUUAUAAACAAAUAGCACUCCAAAAAACGCUCUAUCAUGAUAUUUGAUAACGUUAAAUAAAUGCUAUUAUAGUUUUAUAACAGCAUUUAAAAACUGCUAUACAUCAAUAGCGGUUUUUAAAAACGCUAUAGAGAAAAGAUAACAUGGGCAAUCACAACAUUAAAUAAAUGUUAUAAUAACGAUAAUAUAACAUUUUUUGAGCGCUAUCAAAAGUCAUAUUUGUUGUAGUGCAUCUACGAGGAUAAUACUUAGGGGAUUGAUAAUACUAUUCCUUAUGUGUUUGAUUCUUUACAUGAUGCCAAUAUUGACAUUGCUUGAAGGAUGGCCAUUUCUAAGUCAUCAUCUACGGGUGAUGAAGCCAUCAAAAAGCUUUCAAUGCUCAAGAGUUUAGAAACAAAAGUAUUUGUUGUGCAUAUGUCGCAUGCUCUUGCAUCUCAUCUAUUUUUGCAUGGUAAGAAGUUAGGAAUGAUGAGUAAAGGGUAUGCAUGGAUUAUAACAUCUUCAACUAUGGAUUUCCUGCAUUCAAUGGACUCAUCGGUUGUUGAGUCCAUGCAGGGAGUUCUGGGUUUCAAGCGUUAUGUUCCAGCAUCGAAGGAGCUUCACAAUUUCACCGUAAGGUAGAGAAGGGAACUGUACCUAUAUAAUCCAAAUGCUGCGGUAUCCGAAUUAGAUGUAUAUGGGAUUCUUGCAUAUGAUAUGUUUGGAUUCUGGCAAAGGCAUCAGAAAAGCUGAAAACUGAUCGGGUUCCUGAUGAAACAUUUUAUAAGCAGAUAAUAAACAGCAGGUUCACGAGUUUAAGCGGUAAUUUUCAACUAGUAGACGGGAAAUUAACUUCAUCGGGAGCAUUUGAGAUUGUAAAUGUGAUAGGCAAGACCUUAAAAAGAGUUGGGUUUUGGAGUCCAAUCACUAGGAUCUCAAAGGAAAUGAAUUCAUUAGUACUCUUCAAUAAGAUGAAUAUUAGUUCACCCUCACCAAAUGAUGAUGAACUCGAAGCCGUUAUAUGGCCAGGAGGAUCUGCAGCCAUUCCAGAAGGUGGUGGUAAGAUUAAUAAGUUAAGGAUAGGGGUUCCAGUGAAUGGUUUUAAAGAACUUGUCAAUGCGGCUCGGGAUCCUCAAGGAACAUUAAUCGUUGAAGGCAUCUGUAUAGACGUAUUCAAAUCAGCCAUUGACUCUUUAACAUUUGAAGUACCUUACGAGUUCAUUCCGUUUGAGGAUGCUAGUGGACGAAUGGCUGGAUCGUAUAAUGAUCUUAUCGAUCAGGUUUAUUUUAACAUACGUGAGCGAGUAUAUAUAUUACAAAUUUUAAUUUACAUCUAACUUUAUUUUACACAUAUUGACCAUGAUUAAUUGAAAAACUAGAAAUUUGAUGUUGUGGUGGGGGAUACAACAAUUACUGCCAAUAGAUCUUUGUACGUUGAUUUCACAUUGCCAUACACGGAAAUGGGCAUUGGAAUGAUAGUCCCAAUUGAUCAGAGCAACAACAUUUGGAUUUUCUUAAAGCCACUUGAACCAAAUCUUUGGCUAACCACUGCAGCAUUAUUUCUCUUGACUAGUUUUGUCAUGUGGAUUAUUGAACGUCCAGUCAAUGAUGAAUUCCAAGGUUCGCGGGCGCAUCAAUUUGGGAUGAUAUUUUGGUAUUCUUUCUCAACACUGGUAUUUUCUCAGAGUAAGUACACGUAUAUGUAAUAUGUAUCUCUACACACACACACACACUUUAAUUAUAUAUAUUUCAGAAAUUAAUUACUUUGUAAAUGGGCAUUAAUUUUUGUUUUUCAGGGGAAAAGCUAUUUAGCAAUUUGUCAAAGUUUGUAGUGAUCGUAUGGUUGUUUGUAGUGCUUAUAUUGAGCUCAAGCUAAACGGCAACUUUAGCCUCUAUGUUAACCAUUCAACAUAUUAAGUUGGCCUCAAUGGACAAUAUAGGAUCUCAAUUGGGCUCGGUUGUACCAGGAGCUCUAAGCAACUUAAAUUUUAAAGAUUCCAGACUCAAGAAAUACAAUUCUACUAAAGAAUAUGCCAAUGCUCUAUCCAAGGAGAGUAAGAAUGGUGGCAUUUCUGCCAUUAUUGAUGAAAUGCCCUACAUAAAGGCCUUCCUUGCCAAGUAUUCUGCCCAUUACACCUUGACUGCACCCAAGAAUACCAACAGUACCAAUGGUUUUGGCUUUGUGCGUAUCUCUACUAACAAUAUUAUAUUUAACUAAUUAACCUCGUACAGAUUACGUGUCACUAAAUUUUUUAUGUAUCCUCCAGGUUUUUCAAAAGGGUUCAUCACUAGUUCAUGACAUAUCAAAGGCUAUUGCAAGGUUAAGAGAAGAAGGGACUCUUACAAAGAUUGAAAAUGAAUGGUUUAUUGACAGACAAUCAAGUUUUAUGCAUAAGGGUUCCAUUAGUGAUAACCCAUCUAGUCUGAGCCUAACCAAUUUUGGCGGUUUGUUUCUUAUUACAGGGAUCUCUUUAACUCUAGCUCUUGUUAUAUUCUUACUUCCUUCAAUUUACAAAAAAAAUGCUUUCUGGAAAGGUGGGGUAUUGGAAAGAAAAAGUAGUACUUCAUUGUAAUUAUCAUUAAGGUAAGGCAUCCAUUUUAGGUUGCAUUUCAUUAAUUCAUCACUCUUUUACUAAAUUAUAUAUAUAUGUCCGUUUUAGUAAUCUUUAAUCACGUAAGACCAUUAUAAAUAUUACCUAUCUAUCUCGGAGUACUGAAGUAGAUUCCAAACAUUUAUAGUCAUUAUAUAUUUAUUUAUUGAAAUUUUGAUGUUAUAAGUGUCGUCAUGCAUGUUAUAGUGCGCAAUGAAAUAUGUAUCAAGAAUUUAUUAACAAGGUUACACAACUCACAAAAAUAAUCCAAACAAAUAAAUUAUAACACCUAUGCCGCCGUGCAUCAGAUCGAACUUCUUAUUGAGUUAUAAGAAUAUAGAAAUUAUUUUGGGCUCACUUAGCUAGUGAGCAUUUUGCACUCACUAAGCUCGUAAGCUUUACUGAUCAUAAACUAGAUCAUUGGCUGCACAAAAGUCUAAAAUGGGCCUUGUGGAAAAUAAUUUUAGCCCAACCCAAUGGGAUCAACUGAAGAGGAUCCACAUGAAUCAAAUAGGGAAUAGGUAUAAAACUUAGAGUUGAUUUGACAGCUCUUUGUGAGGCAGGCACGCUGGACAGCUGGCAAUUGGCAAAGGAGUCGCUUUCGUUUCUGAGUCCGGAUUCGACUGUUUUCACCCUUCGGCUUCCCGCACCGUUCUAUAGUCAUAAAAACGAUUUGAUUUUAAAAGUUUUAUAAUCGUUCGUAAUAUAUUUUAGAAAACGUAAGGCCACGCACAUCAGGCAAGGUCUUAAUUAAUUUUAUAAGCUCUAUCGCCUAUAAAUUUAUUUUGUAUUUAUUUUUUGAAGUCAGAGUAAGGAAUAUAAUUUUUUUUAUUCUAUUAUUUAUUUAUAUAUUUUGAGAGAGGAUUGGGCAUCCCACUUCGUGAGCCUCAUCAAUUUUUAGAGUAAAAGUAUAACUCUUUUAUUAAAUUUAAUAUAAUUAUAUUUAAUAAAAUAAAAUAAAUAAUAUUAUUAUAUUAAUAAAGAAUUAAUAAUAUUACUAUAUAUUAUAUUUAUUUGAAAAUAUAAUAUUAAUAUAUUUAUUUAAUAUCAAUAAUUAAUAAUAAAAAUAAUUUAUUCUAAGAAGAUAUUAAUUCCAUACUAUGUUAAUAGUAAAAAUAUUUUAUUUAUAUUGCCCUUAUCGAUAAUUUUUAAUUUACAUAAUUAUCGAUAAAAUUAAUAAAAAAUUGUGAUGUACAUAAUUAAGAAUAUUAAUAAUUAUUAUAAAUUUACAAAUAUAAUAAAAUAAAUGUUUAUUCAUCAAAUAUAUUUUUUAUUAACUUUGUAAUUAAAAACUACAAUUCUUUAAACAAAGGUAAAAUUAUAAUUUGAAACUAUUUACUCCUAAUCCAAGAUAAAGUAAAUACAUAAAUUAUAUUCUGAUCUUCAUUAUAUGUUUAUAUUUAAGUGUAAAUAAACAAAGUACUCUCAUUCUCACUCCACACUCUCAAUCACAGGAUCCCCACUCUUCAGGAUUCUCACUCCAAUCCAAAAUGUAAAUGUUACCUUAAGCGACCAAUUAAUAAAUCUGAGGACAAAAUACAACUUUACAACACAACAAAAAGUUUGAUUAAAAAAUAUUAAAAACUAUGCAAAUCUUCUUAUUUCGCUGAAAAUUGUAUUGUGUUUUCGUUUAGCACACACCAAACUCCUUUUUAUGGUACAGUUUUUACCAAAUUACUUUUUUCAUCGAUAAUAGGAUCACAUAGAGUAUAUCUUACUGAAAUAAGGGAAGCUUUCAUACAAUGGUAUGUGUGAUAUGAGGAAGAAACAAGAAAAAUAACAAUAAAAUUAUUGAUUAUUAGUUGGCAUUUAAUAAUACCAAUAUGGUUAUUGAUUCAUAUGGAAGAAAGAACCAAGAUAAGUAAGAUUCCACCCAAACUAGGGGGAUACAUUGAUUUAUAUUUACAGAUAAAAUUCUCUUGCAAAUACAAUGCAAGGAGAUACUAAAAUUUUAUGAUGUACAUUCUGUAAUUUCCGGACACUUCUGACUCCAAGACUCCAGCAUCCACUUAAAAGUAAAAAGCUAACUCAAACCACCACCCAGCGGCACUUUUGUUUCUCAAACUACACUCCAUACCUCCACAUACAAGUUACUCAAUGCCCUAGUGAAUCAGUUAAACAAAUAGCACUCCAAAAAACGCUCUAUCAUGAUAUUUGAUAACGUUAAAUAAAUGCUAUUAUAGUUUUAUAACAGCAUUUAAAAACUGCUAUACAUCAAUAGCGGUUUUUAAAAACGCUAUAGAGAAAAGAUAACAUGGGCAAUCACAACAUUAAAUAAAUGUUAUAAUAACGAUAAUAUAACAUUUUUUGAGCGCUAUCAAAAGUCAUAUUUGUUGUAGUGCAUCUACGAGGAUAAUACUUAGGGGAUUGAUAAUACUAUUCCUUAUGUGUUUGAUUCUUUACAUGAUGCCAAUAUUGACAUUGCUUGAAGGAUGGCCAUUUCUAAGUCAUCAUCUACGGGUGAUGAAGCCAUCAAAAAGCUUUCAAUGCUCAAGAGUUUAGAAACAAAAGUAUUUGUUGUGCAUAUGUCGCAUGCUCUUGCAUCUCAUCUAUUUUUGCAUGGUAAGAAGUUAGGAAUGAUGAGUAAAGGGUAUGCAUGGAUUAUAACAUCUUCAACUAUGGAUUUCCUGCAUUCAAUGGACUCAUCGGUUGUUGAGUCCAUGCAGGGAGUUCUGGGUUUCAAGCGUUAUGUUCCAGCAUCGAAGGAGCUUCACAAUUUCACCGUAAGGUAGAGAAGGGAACUGUACCUAUAUAAUCCAAAUGCUGCGGUAUCCGAAUUAGAUGUAUAUGGGAUUCUUGCAUAUGAUAUGUUUGGAUUCUGGCAAAGGCAUCAGAAAAGCUGAAAACUGAUCGGGUUCCUGAUGAAACAUUUUAUAAGCAGAUAAUAAACAGCAGGUUCACGAGUUUAAGCGGUAAUUUUCAACUAGUAGACGGGAAAUUAACUUCAUCGGGAGCAUUUGAGAUUGUAAAUGUGAUAGGCAAGACCUUAAAAAGAGUUGGGUUUUGGAGUCCAAUCACUGGGAUCUCAAAGGAAAUGAAUUCAUCAGUACUCUUCAACAAGAUGAAUAUUAGUUCACCCUCACCAAAUGAUGAUGAACUCGAAGCCGUUAUAUGGCCAGGAGGAUCUGCAGCCAUUCCAGAAGGUGGUGGUAAGAAUAAUAAGUUAAGGAUAGGGGUUCCAGUGAAUGCUUUUAAAGAACUUGUCCAUAUUGCGGCUCGGGAUCCUCAAGGAACAUUUAUCGUUGAAGGCUUCUGUAUAGACGUAUUCAAGGCAGCCAUUGACUCUUUAACGUUUGAAGUACCUUACCAGUUCAUUCCGUUUGAGGAUGAAAGUGGACGAAUGGCUGGAUCGUAUAAUGAUCUUAUCGAUCAGGUUUAUUUUAACAUACGUGAGCGAGUAUAUAUAUUACAAAUUUUAAUUUACAUCUAACUUUAUUUUACACAUAUUGACCAUGAUUAAUUGAAAAACUAGAAAUUUGAUGUUGUGGUGGGGGAUACAACAAUUACUGCCAAUAGAUCUUUGUACGUUGAUUUCACAUUGCCAUACACGGAAAUGGGCAUUGGAAUGAUAGUCCCAAUUGAUCAGAGCAACAACAUUUGGAUUUUCUUAAAGCCACUUGAACCAAAUCUUUGGCUAACCACUGCAGCAUUAUUUCUCUUGACUAGUUUUGUCAUGUGGAUUAUUGAACGUCCAGUCAAUGAUGAAUUCCAAGGUUCGCGGGCGCAUCAAUUUGGGAUGAUAUUUUGGUAUUCUUUCUCAACACUGGUAUUUUCUCAGAGUAAGUACACGUAUAUGUAAUAUGUAUCUCUACACACACACACACACUUUAAUUAUAUAUAUUUCAGAAAUUAAUUACUUUGUAAAUGGGCAUUAAUUUUUGUUUUUCAGGGGAAAAGCUAUUUAGCAAUUUGUCAAAGUUUGUAGUGAUCGUAUGGUUGUUUGUAGUGCUUAUAUUGAGCUCAAGCUAAACGGCAACUUUAGCCUCUAUGUUAACCAUUCAACAUAUUAAGUUGGCCUCAAUGGACAAUAUAGGAUCUCAAUUGGGCUCGGUUGUACCAGGAGCUCUAAGCAACUUAAAUUUUAAAGAUUCCAGACUCAAGAAAUACAAUUCUACUAAAGAAUAUGCCAAUGCUCUAUCCAAGGAGAGUAAGAAUGGUGGCAUUUCUGCCAUUAUUGAUGAAAUGCCCUACAUAAAGGCCUUCCUUGCCAAGUAUUCUGCCCAUUACACCUUGACUGCACCCAAGAAUACCAACAGUACCAAUGGUUUUGGCUUUGUGCGUAUCUCUACUAACAAUAUUAUAUUUAACUAAUUAACCUCGUACAGAUUACGUGUCACUAAAUUUUUUAUGUAUCCUCCAGGUUUUUCAAAAGGGUUCAUCACUAGUUCAUGACAUAUCAAAGGCUAUUGCAAGGUUAAGAGAAGAAGGGACUCUUACAAAGAUUGAAAAUGAAUGGUUUAUUGACAGACAAUCAAGUUUUAUGCAUAAGGGUUCCAUUAGUGAUAACCCAUCUAGUCUGAGCCUAACCAAUUUUGGCGGUUUGUUUCUUAUUACAGGGAUCUCUUUAACUCUAGCUCUUGUUAUAUUCUUACUUCCUUCAAUUUACAAAAAAAAUGCUUUCUGGAAAGGUGGGGUAUUGGAAAGAAAAAGUAGUACUUCAUUGUAAUUAUCAUUAAGGUAAGGCAUCCAUUUUAGGUUGCAUUUCAUUAAUUCAUCACUCUUUUACUAAAUUAUAUAUAUAUGUCCGUUUUAGUAAUCUUUAAUCACGUAAGACCAUUAUAAAUAUUACCUAUCUAUCUCGGAGUACUGAAGUAGAUUCCAAACAUUUAUAGUCAUUAUAUAUUUAUUUAUUGAAAUUUUGAUGUUAUAAGUGUCGUCAUGCAUGUUAUAGUGCGCAAUGAAAUAUGUAUCAAGAAUUUAUUAACAAGGUUACACAACUCACAAAAAUAAUCCAAACAAAUAAAUUAUAACACCUAUGCCGCCGUGCAUCAGAUCGAACUUCUUAUUGAGUUAUAAGAAUAUAGAAAUUAUUUUGGGCUCACUUAGCUAGUGAGCAUUUUGCACUCACUAAGCUCGUAAGCUUUACUGAUCAUAAACUAGAUCAUUGGCUGCACAAAAGUCUAAAAUGGGCCUUGUGGAAAAUAAUUUUAGCCCAACCCAAUGGGAUCAACUGAAGAGGAUCCACAUGAAUCAAAUAGGGAAUAGGUAUAAAACUUAGAGUUGAUUUGACAGCUCUUUGUGAGGCAGGCACGCUGGACAGCUGGCAAUUGGCAAAGGAGUCGCUUUCGUUUCUGAGUCCGGAUUCGACUGUUUUCACCCUUCGGCUUCCCGCACCGUUCUAUAGUCAUAAAAACGAUUUGAUUUUAAAAGUUUUAUAAUCGUUCGUAAUAUAUUUUAGAAAACGUAAGGCCACGCACAUCAGGCAAGGUCUUAAUUAAUUUUAUAAGCUCUAUCGCCUAUAAAUUUAUUUUGUAUUUAUUUUUUGAAGUCAGAGUAAGGAAUAUAAUUUUUUUUAUUCUAUUAUUUAUUUAUAUAUUUUGAGAGAGGAUUGGGCAUCCCACUUCGUGAGCCUCAUCAAUUUUUAGAGUAAAAGUAUAACUCUUUUAUUAAAUUUAAUAUAAUUAUAUUUAAUAAAAUAAAAUAAAUAAUAUUAUUAUAUUAAUAAAGAAUUAAUAAUAUUACUAUAUAUUAUAUUUAUUUCUGCUGUACCGUACAUCCGCCUUGGCCGUACAGCAGAACUUGUAUUUAUAUCUUCUGUGAAUCAUACGAUAAUCACAUAAAUACAUAUAAUAUGAUUAAACGGACUUUAUUCAAAAUAUUUAUGCAAUUAAGAUGUUUGAAAAAUAUCUCAAACAUUUUAUUAAUAAAAAAAUAUCAAAGGUAAAAUUAUAAUUUGAAACUAUUUACUCCUAAUCCAAGAUAAAGUAAAUACAUAAAUUAUAUUCUGAUCUUCAUUAUAUGUUUAUAUUUAAGUGUAAAUAAACAAAGUACUCUCAUUCUCACUCCACACUCUCAAUCACAGGAUCCCCACUCUUCAGGAUUCUCACUCCAAUCCAAAAUGUAAAUGUUACCUUAAGCGACCAAUUAAUAAAUCUGAGGACAAAAUACAACUUUACAACACAACAAAAAGUUUGAUUAAAAAAUAUUAAAAACUAUGCAAAUCUUCUUAUUUCGCUGAAAAUUGUAUUGUGUUUUCGUUUAGCACACACCAAACUCCUUUUUAUGGUACAGUUUUUACCAAAUUACUUUUUUCAUCGAUAAUAGGAUCACAUAGAGUAUAUCUUACUGAAAUAAGGGAAGCUUUCAUACAAUGGUAUGUGUGAUAUGAGGAAGAAACAAGAAAAAUAACAAUAAAAUUAUUGAUUAUUAGUUGGCAUUUAAUAAUACCAAUAUGGUUAUUGAUUCAUAUGGAAGAAAGAACCAAGAUAAGUAAGAUUCCACCCAAACUAGGGGGAUACAUUGAUUUAUAUUUACAGAUAAAAUUCUCUUGCAAAUACAAUGCAAGGAGAUACUAAAAUUUUAUGAUGUACAUUCUGUAAUUUCCGGACACUUCUGACUCCAAGACUCCAGCAUCCACUUAAAAGUAAAAAGCUAACUCAAACCACCACCCAGCGGCACUUUUGUUUCUCAAACUACACUCCAUACCUCCACAUACAAGUUACUCAAUGCCCUAGUGAAUCAGUAAUCAUCAAGAGUAUAUUAUAUAGGAAACAAAAUGUUACUCAUUACACUUUUCAUCAUCCAACAGUUCGUGCAAAGCAAAAGACAGCAAAAAUGCAGCAUGCUGAAAUCUUUGCAGUUAUAUAUAUCACAAGUAUCUAACCCAGCAUUAGAAGCAGCUCUUUCUUAAUGUGUAUGUUAGUCGGGGACUGUGUAGACACAGGAAUAACUUGCAUUUGCAAUGUACAACCAAAAUACUUCGCCACAACAAAUAUAAUUAAUCAGCAGCUUUAGGUCCUUCCUUUGCUAUGCAUCCAUCUCUUGACCAGCAAAAGAUUCUUCCAAGAUUCAAAUGAUAUGCCGAUUACUCCUGUUCAGGCUACUUUCUCACCAGGAUUCUCUACAUGCUUGCCAUAUGUAUAACAUCGGUUCCAUUUCCUUCCAAUUUGAGAAAUCACCAAAGACUUCUAAAUUAAAAUGUAGAAAACCUAAAAAACAAUGAGCAAAUAACAACCUCGUUCUUCAAGCCAUCGUAUACUCAUUGAUUUUCUAUUUGUGAAAGUACAUCAACAAAUGGUUAGAAGAAGGAAAUACUCAAUAAUAGAGCCCAUCUUUUUUCUCAUGGCAGUGGCAACCUUCUACAAUGCAAAAUGAUUUCAUUUAUAUAACUGUUCAAGAAAGUGAAUGAAUAACCAACCUCAUUGUACAAAUUACCUCAUCCAAGUGAAGCCAGCCAUAAAGCCAAAUUAAUGCAGUUGGCACAGAAAGUGAAUCAGAUUUUCUAUUCAACUUCACCCAAGUAUAGAUUUUGAUUUUUGACCCUGAUGUUCAAGAUGAAACAUGCCUCACUGGUUUGAAAAAAAAAGUUAUUUAAACUGUUGUAACACUAAAGUAAAUUGCAUACAUAUACUAAAUGCAAAAACAAAUGGACCUUUUGCUAUUUUAUAUCCAUUAUAACCUGGUAAAUAUAAUGUUUGAUAAAGACUUGUAUAGUUUAAAGUUCUUUCAGAUUGAGUUUUUUCGGAUUGAGCUUUGGCAUAGAUUGAAUAAGUCUUUCAUCCACGUCCAAAAAAUCCAGUUUUCAAACAAAAGCAAGGUUUGAUGAUGUAGCAUUCGAGAAUAACCCAAGAUCUUUGAAUCCACAAAUCUGCAUGAGAUAAAACUUGUAGUAUAUCAUCAACUUAGUCAGAAGCAAGAAAACCAUAACUUCAUAUGUGCAUAAAUGUUCCAUGGUGUCAAUGAACGAUACUAACGUACAAAUUGUGGCUUGGCAAUUACCAUACAAGAAAGCAUGAUAGCUUGCUUAAUUAGUGAUUACUAUUGCUGCACAGAUGACUUAAAUUAGAAGAAUUAAUGCUACACAUGCAUAAUUUGAAAUAUAAAAGUCAUAUCAGAGCUGAUCUGCUGGUUAAUUUGGUACCCCUGUAAGACUUUCCUAUGAAUAUUAGAAUAAUUUACAACAACCUCUACGGUGCUAAGUCAAUUACCACCUCAUAUCCCAAGCUCAUAUGCAUAGCAUUAUUGGAAAAGAUGGGAUGCAAACAUUAGAGCAAAUACUUACAAAUAUUAGAAAUACACAAAUCGAGUAAAAGUUUUCACUUACCCUAUAACAAUGAUCUAUUUAUUUUAUUAAUGGUAGGAAAAAUGAUCCAUAAAAGAAUAUAUAUAUAUAUUUGAAAAAAAGGUUCCAUUGUGCUUGAUUGACAUUAGGCCAUCAACCAAACUAAAUGUUUGAUAUCUAGAUAAAUAUGAUAUGAGGAACAAUAACAAUCCAAACCCAUAGUGAUAUGAAUUAUUGUGGGGGAAAAAAAAUAUAUCCUGUAGGUUAUGUACCCUCUUUAUUUAAUUUAUUCAUCAUACAUUCUUGUGUAUUAUAGUAAGUGCUAAAAAAUAGAAAGAACUUAAGGCUGAAACCUUAAAACCUAAAAAUUUCUCUCAGAAAGGGAAAAAAAUGAAAUAGUCAAAAUAUUUACACAACAUAAGAAAAUAGGCAAAAUAAAGAAGUGGAUAGAGAAAAGCAACUAAAAAUCUCCUUCAAUUUUUUUUUUUCAUCUUCACAGCACUAAAUACUAUGUUAGCAUCAUGUAUGAAGAAUGCCUUAUGUUCGGACCAACAGAAGGAAAUCCAUGUUGGUCACAGCCUCUCAAUACCAGAACAACGGAUCCUAUUAGAUAUUAAUGGCAGUGAGCUGGUUGUUUCUUCCAUUUCAAAAUUAUUUACACUUACACAAUAUGCUUUGCCAGUUAAUUUUUUGUUUUUCCCAACUCUAAAAAUUAUUACACCACCUUGCUUCAAAGCAUCAAAAGUAAUUGAAAUUCAUCUUUUACAAUAAAAAUCAACAAUAAAAUUGAUGAAUCUAAAUAAUAUGACGUAAGAUAGAAAAACUAAAAACCUUUAUAAUAAAUGAUAAGAAUACCUCAAAUCUGAAUUUCAGCUUUGAAAAUUAAGAUUACCAUACAAGAAAGUAUGAUAGCUUGCUUAAUUAGUGAUUACUAUUGCUGCACAGAUGACUUAAAUUAGAAGAAUUAAUGCUACACAUGCAUAAUUUGAAAUAUAAAAGUCAUAUCAGAGCUGAUCUGCUGGUUAAUUUGGUACCCCUGUAAGACUUUCCUAUGAAUAUUAGAAUAAUUUACAACAACCUCUACGGUGCUAAGUCAAUUACCACCUCAUAUCCCAAGCUCAUAUGCAUAGCAUUAUUGGAAAAGAUGGGAUGCAAACAUUAGAGCAAAUACUUACAAAUAUUAGAAAUACACAAAUCGAGUAAAAGUUUUCACUUACCCUAUAACAAUGAUCUAUUUAUUUUAUUAAUGGUAGGAAAAAUGAUCCAUAAAAGAAUAUAUAUAUAUAUUUGAAAAAAAGGUUCCAUUGUGCUUGAUUGACAUUAGGCCAUCAACCAAACUAAAUGUUUGAUAUCUAGAUAAAUAUGAUAUGAGGAACAAUAACAAUCCAAACCCAUAGUGAUAUGAAUUAUUGUUGGAAAAAAAAAUAUAUAUCCUGUAGGUUAUGUACCCUCUUUAUUUAAUUUAUUCAUCAUAUAUUCUUGUGUAUUAUAGUAAGUGCUAAAAAAUAGAAAGAACUUAAGGCUGAAACCUUAAAACCUAAAAAUUUCUCUCAGAAAGGGAAAAAAAUGAAAUAGUCAAAAUAUUUACACAACAUAAGAAAAUAGGCAAAAUAAAGAAGUGGAUAGAGAAAAGCAACUAAAAAUCUCCUUCAAUUUUUUUUUUUCAUCUUCACAGCACUAAAUACUAUGUUAGCAUCAUGUAUGAAGAAUGCCUUAUGUUCGGACCAACAGAAGGAAAUCCAUGUUGGUCACAGCCUCUCAAUACCAGAACAACAGAUCCUAUUAGAUAUUAAUGGCAGUGAGCUGGUUGUUUCUUCCAUUUCAAAAUUAUUUACACUUACACAAUAUGCUUAGCCAGUUAAUUUUUUGUUUUUCCUAACUCUAAAAAUUAUUACACCACCUUGCUUCAAAGCAUCAAAAGUAAUUGAAAUUCAUCUUUUACAAUAAAAAUCAACAAUAAAAUUGAUGAAUCUAAAUAAUAUGACGUAAGAUAGAAAAACUAAAAACCUUUAUAAUAAAUGAUAAGAAUACCUCAAAUCUGAAUUUCAGCUUUGAAAAUUAAGAAUACAGAAUCACCUGCUUCAGUUCAGUUGCUAUUAUAGAGUGCCGACAGACAAUAUUCAACUGCUUUAAGCAAAUUUUAUGACAAUGGUAGAGAGCACGCUAGUAGACAGCCUUGCCAUUUGCACGAAUGCUGACAGGUGUGCUCUCUCUCAUUGUCAAGCAAAUUUGUAUUGAGUCUGGGCAAGGAUUAUAUAUCUGCAUAAAAAAGUAAUAAUACAAUCAGAAAACCUUCUAAUAGAACUUCCAAAAUCAACUUUGUUUAAUCUAAUGGCAGAUGGACAACAACCAAUACUUUGAAUUUCAAUUACCAUAUUUACUUAUAUUGGAGCAGCUUAAAGAGAAGCAUGAUCCAACUAGAAUUUUAUUCAAAGCCAAUGAAGUUUCAAAUUCAUGCACAAUCUGGAUUGUCGACUCAAAGGCUAAAAUAACAUCAAUGACCAUUCAUUCUUCCUUCUUUACAAGAGAAAGCAAAGUUUACAUCAUAAGAUAAAUGGCAUAUUCUUUUGAGCAGAAACUAAGGAGCAUUAUCACAUACAAUUAAUCAUCCAAAACCUUAACAGAGCUAGAAUUAAACAAAAGUAUGAGAAAAUGAAAGAUUGACAAAAAGAAAACAUGAGUAAAAUCAGAAGCGGCGGCCGGCAAUUGAGAAUAAAAUAUUAGAGCUUUGCCUUUACUAAUAUAUAUUUUAAAAAAGAAAAAGGAAAGAAAGAAAAACAGUAAAAGCUAUAAGAAUAUAUUUUUCUAGAAAAGGAAAGAAACUUCCUAACCCAAUCUAAAAAAUGCUAGGGGAAAAAAAUCCAUUAAACCCUAAUGCCAUGCCCCCUUAGAAAAAGAACGAAGAAAACAGCAGAUAAGAAAUUCUUUUAUUAAAAAAAAAGUUAAAAGAUAACAAAACACUAACAUACAUGAAAGCCAACUUUUAACUUGUUAAAAACUCUCUUUCAAGUUUAACUUGCACUAGAUAGAAUUCUCAGAUCCCAAUUCCCAACCCAUAUCAUCAAGCAAACAAACAAACAUACACUGGUACUGCACUAAAUAUAAAAUCUAAAGCAAGAAGCAAAAUAAGAAAAAACAAGCAAAAAACUACUUUCGUGCUGAAAAUUAAAUAAAAAAUUUUAAGAAGAAAUAAAAGAAAUUGCCAUACAUUGAGAGUCAUUUAUAGACCUUGAAAAUGUGAAAUGACAUGGCGGGCUGAUCACUUGGAGAUCCCAACAGCAGCACACACCGCGCUGGAAGACCAACCAUUUGUCAGAGAAAUAAGAAUUAGAAGUACCUACCUAAAGAAGAGAGAAAAAUAUAAUUGGCAAAUAAUUAAUUAAUUAAUAAUAGUAUAAUUACACAUGAUGCAAGUAGUUGAUUACUUUUUACCAUUCAUCAUGUAAUGUGUUACUGGGGUCACCAUCAACUCUUAGAGUCUACAGUCAGGAUUCAUCCACGUAUGUCAGAUCCUCAUAUGAUAUUAUGAUGUGUGUAAUGUAGUAAAAAGUAACAGAAGUACAAGACAGGUUAAAUAUUAAAUGCACCUUUCGAAAUCCAUGACUGGUUCACGUGAUUUUACUGCGAGUGAAAUGCACGUAUUUUUUUUUGGUGGGGUUAAAUGUCAUCAUCCGAGUUGGAGUGAAGUCACAUCAAACCGUUCAAUGCUGCGGGACCCGUUGGAGUGAUAAUUUUAAAGGUCAUACCACGCAUUUAUUAGAGGGCUGUAGCCCUAGCACUAUUGAAUUUGUAUUCAGCUAUUGACGCCUUUAAAAACUCUUACAAAAUUCUUUUUAUGAAUGGUUAUGGUUAUUUUAGAGUUAUUUUAGAAUAAAAUUUAAAUUAUAAUUAUAUACAUAAUAAAUAAUAAAAAAUAUAUUAUAAUUUUAAUUGAUCAUAAGAGAAUGUUUUAUUGUGAAAUAGUUUCAAUAUAGUCGAUUUUUUUUAAAAUAUCCUUCAAUUAAUGAAUAAAUUUAUUUUUGGAUAGAGUUGUUAUUAUUUAUUAAGUUUUUCAUUGCACUCUUUUUUCAAUUAAAAAUUUUAUUAUGAAGAUAUAAUAUAAUCAUUCAUGAAUCAAUGGUAAUUUUAUUAUUUAAUCUUACUAUCUCUUUUAAUAUCUCCUUUCUUUAUUAAAAUUUAUUAUGAUACAUAAAGUAAAUAUUAUAUUCAACAAACAAAAUUGUUUAAACAUUAACAAAUUCAACGUUAUUGCAAGUUAAAAAAAAUGAAAGGAUCCAUAUCCAUUAUGUAAAAUUAAAAAAUAAGUUUUUUUUGUACCACUUUGAAUUUAUUAAAUUUUUUUAGUCAAAUCUUAGAAGCAAAUUUUUUUAAUAAUAAUAGGAGGCAAAUCUAGAGAUGUUAUAGUAAAAAAUAAGGGAAAGGUAAAGUUGAUUUAGCAAAAAAAGAAUAAAGAAAGAAAAAUUGAAAGAGAGAGAAAUCAGUUUAAUUUUUUACCAUUAUUACAGUAGUGACAAAAAGUAAUUAAUCAAUGGUAAUUUUAUGAUUUUUGAGAAUUAAUGAAUUAAAAUAAUAAAUUAAAAUUUGAUAAUUAUUUUAAUUAAAAAUUGGGUGUUGAAAAAAAUGGAUGGGUUUAAAUAACUCCACCAUUUGUUUAAUCAUUUACCCUAUAAUUAAUUCCAUAACUAUCCUUACCUAUUUCAUUUGACCUUUUCUUCCCCUUUUUUAAAGAAUUGAUUAAUAAAUGCUUCCACCUUCAACAAUGGUAGAAAGUGCUUAUGAAAUCUUAUAUUUUAUUUUAUUACCGCAGUUAAAAAUUUGUUGAUAUCAUAAGCACAUUUAAAAAAAUUCACGUUGAAGGAAAAAUGCAUUGUUCAACUGUGAAAAAGAUAUUAUUUUUUAACCACUAAAAAUUUUCAGACAUAUCAAUUCAAUAUUAAGGCUUCCUGAAACCUACAUUUUAUCGCCUAAUGUUUUAGUUGCUAUUACUUUAUCACCAAAACAUUAACAAGUAAAAAUUUGCUAACGUCAUAAGCGUAUUUAAGGAAUUCCAUGUUAAAGCAAAAAAUUAACACAAUUGUUAAAUGAUGAAUGUUAAAUUUGGGGUAUUUAGCGUGCUAUUGUAAUGUUUGAAAUGGUUUAAUGCUACUGAUAUUGAAAGACAUUAUCAAAACUAAAGUUUUUAGCUUGUAUUGCUUGGAAUUUCGAUAUUUGAAUGCAUAAUAGCAUGCUUAUAUAAUAAUAAAAAAGAAAAGUAUUUUUUUAAUAUAACUAUUAUUUUUUAACGUAAUUUCUCUUUUCUAAUUUAUUUCUUUUCAAUUGACAGUAUCAUCUUUUACGCUCCAGGUUAAAUAUUUAAUUAUUUUUAACAUUUUUUUGUGGUAAAGUGAUAAUAGUUUAAAUAUUAGGUGGUAAAUAUAGUUUUGAGGAAAUCUUGGUACUAAAUUAAUAUAUCAGAAAACUUCCAAUGGAGAAAUGAUAUAUUUUUUCGGUAAUUUCUUUCUUUUCAAAGGAAAAAAAAUUGUCUUUUACGCUUCAAAAACAAAAUCGAUAUUUAACUCAUAUUCCAUUAAAUAUUAACUUAUUUUUAGCAGAAUGGUAGUAAAGCGAUAACAGUGUAAACAUUUUAUGGCAAAAUACAAUUUUCACCCCUCCUCGUUCUUUUUAUUUAGUAGUAACUAAUCAUUAAUCAAUCUUUCACUAUUUGCCAUUUCAAAUUUGAGCAAAAAUCUCUAUGUUUUCUCUUCUCGCUUACUUACUAGUUACUAGUUGAAAUAAAAAGAAAAAAGAAAAUUGCAUUAGAAUCUAGCAUUGUGAUAAUAAAAUUAUGAAUAUUUUCUAACUUUUUGAGCACUAGUAUUUUUUGGGGAAAAAAAUUAAGUAACUCUUUUGAAGUUAAAUUAAUUUUAAGAUCUGAAAAGAAUUAAAUAUGACCAAAUAAACUUACAUCUUAAUGAGAAGAAAAAUGAAGGGAAAGGGCUAUAAAUAUCAAAGUAUACGCAUGAUAUAGUAUAUGAUAUUUAGAGAUAUAAUAGCUGUAAAAUUUUGUUGAGAGAAGAAUUACCCAAAAAAGUAGUUAAAAUAAUAGUGAAUUGAUGGCCAUCUUAAAAAAAAUCAUCUAAUUUACCUACGAUUAGAAGUAAUACUUAUUUUAAAAUAUGUCAGUUAUCUUUUUAUAUAAUUUUAAAUAGGGAUAAAAUUGUAACGUUAGGAAAAGGUUAUGACUACCUUGGAGCUGCUCUAAAGUAGAGUACGAAUCACAACCACACAUGCAAAGUGAUAAAUAGUAAAAAAAAAAAACUCAUUAUAAAUUUGAUCGUGUGAUUAUGAAAGAGUGUUCUACCUUAGAGCGGUUUCAAUAUAGCCAGACCCUCAAGAAAAAUGCUUCAUAAGGAUUUUUUUUAGGGGUAUCGAUAGCAUAACUCUAGAAUUUUGGGUUUAGGCCCAUCUUAAAAUCACAGCUCUAGUAAAAAUUGUGAUAUUCGACCCCCUCAAUUUAUUUCAUCCACCUCCACUUUUUAAUUAAUUUUAUUAGUUUCUAAGAGUACCUCCACUUUUCAAUUAAUUUUAUUAAUUUCUAAAAGUGCCCUAAUUAAAAAAUAAAAACAAAUUUAAAAAAAACUACUUUUUUUCUUCUCUAUCUAUACACUCCCUUUCGUACAUUAAUCAACCUCUCAAUCUCAAUGAUAGGUAACCACAUUGCAAACCCAUUUAAAUCUAGUUGUUUCUUUAACAUUAUUUCAACCACCAUGACAUUGCCAACAAUCGCAGCAAUUGAAACUGCCAUAGUCUCUGUUAGGAAAUUAAGUUUCCUCCCAAGAUCACUCCAAGCAAUUUGUCAAGCAACAAAUCAAUAGAAAAAUUAAAUGAAGAAUACAUCAAUCCCACAACACAAGAUUUACUUAGAAAACUCAAAAUCCGGAGAACAACCACGGCUGUUGUCAAAAAGACAACUAAAGAAAAAUAUUCAAUAUGUAGAAAAUUAUUACAACUACACUCUCAGAAAUAAUUUUCUUUCGCCCAAGCCCUAAAUACACCCAAAACUCUCAACUUAAGAGUAAUUAUAUUCAACUCUCAAAUUCUCUCUAAAUACAAGAGGAAGCAAAUAUUUGGGAUGAUAAAACUUAUGAAAUGAUCUCCUAUUUAUAACCAAACGGAUAGCAUUGUUCAAACCGCGUUACUGUUUAAACCGCGCGGUCAAACCGUAUUACUAUUCACCACGUGGUCAAACCAUAUUUUUAACAAUUCUCUCACUUGGAGAUUAGAUUGAGGACCAAUUAAUCUCCAUACCAUCCUUACUGUCUUCACCUUAGUCAUAAUUCUUAACAUAGAGAAUUAUCAUACUCUACCAUAAAGAGUAUAUCAUUUAGAAUUAAUUAUCAAUUCUAAGAAUUUUACAUCGGCACAUAUCGAAAUAUCCUGCUGAAAUUUAUAGUGCAACUUCCAUGUUGGCUUUCUUAGAAGUUCGUCAGCCAUCGAUAUAAAUUCCACCACACACCUUACAUUAAUGUCAACCAUGCCUUGUGUGCAAAUUUUGUGGACCCCGUUAAUAGUAACAUGUUCUCUUUCAUGGCAACUUGAAAAUCCACAUGCCAAAAGAACUAACCUAGUCUCUUAUAAAAAAAAAAAAAAACUCACCACUUACGAGAAUAUCAAUAUCCCAUUUACUGAUUUUGGAGCAAUUUGUCGAGCCCACUCUACCUUCUUGAUAAUUUGCUUAAUGUGCCAAAUUGCCCACACCUUCAAAUCCUUAUGCAUACCAAAUUGGAUACGCCUUUGACUUGAAUCCACACGGAUUAUUUGGAUUGGCUCCCACUGCUCACGUGAAUAAUACCAUAUACGUCAACAAUAUCGAAUAUUGUUCAAACAUAUAGCAUUAUUCAAACUGCGUUCCUAUUCAUUCGUGUUACUAUUCAUGUCGCGUUACUGUUCAUGCCGAGUUACUGGUCAAACCGUGUUAUUGUUCACCGCGUGGUCAAACCCUAUUUUUAACUGCCCAGUCAUUGUUUAUGACAUGGAUGUGAGGGUUUCACUUACAAUUCAUUCAUUAGUUAGCUACAAAAGAAUUCUUCAACAAAACAAUUUUGAAAGAAAUGGAAAUACUAAUGUGAAAGGAAAAACAACCCCAAAAAAUUUCAUAUAAAAAUAUUAAUUCAAUUUUAAAUUCUUUUUUUUGGUUUAGUUUUACAGUCAACAAAUUGUUGGCGUGAGUUGUCAAUUAAGAGAUAAAUCAGAGAGAUUAUAGAAGUUAACCAAAUCAUAAAGAUUUUAGGAAUAAGCCAUAAACUACCAAGCCAUUAUUCUAGCAGUAAAAAUCUGUAUAGCCCAAAAAUAGCGUAGCAAAUCUCUCUAUAAAUGUAUACAAUACCUCUGUAACUUUAUGCAUGAGAAAUAUACUGAAACAAAUUGACACAAAUUUCAUACAUAUAGUAGAAGUUUUGUUCCCAUACUGGGUUUCAACUGAUAUGAAAUUAAAGUGAAAAAUAGAACAGAUGAAACAUGUUUUCCAAAACUAAAAAAUAUAAUAAUGUUUUUCUUUUCUUUUAAGUUUCAUAACAUGGUAAGUCCACAAUCAAUCUAAUUCAAAAUGAAACAUAAUUUUCAAGCUGAACCUGGAAGAGUCUUACAGAAAGAUAUGAUAUUUUUAUUAAGUUUGUGAGGAAAAAUAAAAUAGAUUUAUUGGAAAAGAGAUCUUAUUAGGGUAAUUUUAGAAAUAAGUUUGAGGGUCCGUGAGAUUAGUCAAGACAGUCAAAUACCACUGCUCCUCUAGUAAACCAAUAAUAUAUAUGUCACAGGUUUGGGGUAGUUUGAGAGUGUUAUAGAAGAAAAAAUAGAGGGUUGAGCAACGUUCAAGUCAAUUUUUUUUAUAAUUUUCUUAAAUUGGAUGGACAAUCGAGAUAAGAGUUCCUAUAUGUAGGGCAAGUUUUGAAGAUAGAAAUGCGCUACUUCAUUUGGAACUUGUGGGGAAAGAGAAGUUAGUUACAAUGUAAGGUCAGAAGGAAGUUAAAAAUCAUUAAAAAAAAAUUCUCAGUUGAUGGGACUCUGCAUCUUUGGGUCUUAUUUCAUUUCAAACUCGAUUAAAUUAAAUUUAAAUUUGAAUUUAAUGCAUUUUAUAAAUCUCAGGGAAUAAAUUUGUAACUUCAACUAAUUUAAUAGAGUAUGCCAUUUAAAUUUUUUAGGUAAGCGGAUGCAGCUUGUCCCUUAAUGGCUCUGCCACUACCUAUCCUUUUUUAAUUCCAUAGUAUUAAUUGGUUCAAAAACCCCAAUUUUCUAGAGAGUUAUUUGUCAAUUGAAAGAACUAAGAAUACGACAAUAGCAAGAGUCGAAGAGACCCCUAUUAUAAGAAACAAACACCAAAGUUAGUACAGAUUAGACUGGAUGGAUUACUCACAAAAUUAUUUGAUAGUUGGCUAUUAAACCAUACAUGUUCUUUUUUUGUAAGCAUCCUUCUUCUCUUAACUUUUCAAUAGUCUUUUAUAUGUCAUGGACCAAUAGUUAACCUUUCUAGGAAACCUACUCAAUAUAAAGGCAUAAAAGGGAAACCUAAGUUCCAUGUUUGUAUUGCCCAGACAUUUAGAGUGUUAUAUUGAAAAAAUAUUGUUGCUGUAUAUUGGGAGAUUGCUAAUUUCCUCCUACAAUAAUCAAGAUAUACCAUUUACCCCCUGCAAUUUUAUAAUAGUCAAUAACACCGACGGUAAAAGUUUAUAAUAUUACCCUUAUUUUCAAAUACACUCUUAUUCAUAUUUAUUGUAAAUUAAAUAAAUCACAUGAAUAGAAAUUAAAAUUAAAAAAAUAAGUAUUAAAAAAAUAUAUGUUUUGAUGUGAAAUAAUUAAUAAUAAAAUGUUUUUCUUGUACUUUCUUAUUUUAUAAACAGUUUCUUAUAAUGACUAUAUAAGAAAAUUAUUAUAAAAUAAAUAAUAAAAUAUUUUUGUUGUACUUUUUACAUUUAAUUUUAAAAUAUUAUAAAAUAUCUAUUAAAAGAAAAUGUUUACAAAAUAAAAAAGUAUAAGAAAAAAUUUUAUUAUUAAUUUUUUUUGUUCACAUCAAAAUAAAUAUUUCAUGUUUUUAAUACUUAUUUUUUUCAGUUUUUAUUCAUAUGAUUUAUAUUUUUUAAUUCAUUUUCUAUUCAUAUGAUUUAUUUAAUUUAUAAUAAAUAUAAAUAAAAGUGUAUUUAAAAUAGAAGUAAUAUUGUAAACUAAUGUUGUCGGGGGAGUUAUGGGCUAUUAUAAAAACAUUAAGGGAAUAAAUGACAUAUGUUAAUUAAAGUAGGGGGAGAGAUUAGCAAUCUCCCCAGAAAUUAAUUACUUUGUAAUUGGGCAUUAAUUUUUGUUUUUCAAGGGAGAGACCAUUUAGCGACUUGUCAAAGUUUGUAGUGAUUGUAAAGGGAUGGCAAAAUCCUCAAUGGGUUUGGGGCCCAUGGAACCCCACCCGAAAUGGAGAAAAUUUUUAAUAAUUUUUGGAGAAUGGGAGAAAAAUAAUCCCUAAAUUUUUAAUGGGGUGGGGUUUGGUUUUGUACUCCCACCCUAAUCCCCAUUAUAUAUAAAUAUUUUUUAAUUCUUAAUUAAUAAUUUUUAUUUUAUCAAAUAUAAUGUCAAUUAAUAAUUUUUUUUAUUUUUAUGUAAUAUAAACAAGAUAUAACUAAAAGAAUACCCUACAAUAUAAUUCUUUUUCGACUCUAAAAUAUUGUUAUAUUUUUUUUCUCUUUUACAUUGUUGCUCUCUUCAAACAUUUUUCAGUUUUGAUAUAAUUUUAAGAUAUUAUUUUAAACUUUUAGAGUUUUUUAAAUAAUUUCAAUAUUUUAUAAUAUGAUGAUAUUUUUAUUUUAAGUCUCUGAUUUUUAAUUUAUUGAAAUUAUAUAUUUAUAUCAACUAUAAAAUAAGUAAAUAGGGAAUGAGGUGGGGAUGAGAAAUCAUUCUCCAAGUGGGGAUUCCCCAUCUCCACCCCACUAAAUUUAUUGGAGAAUGGAGUGGGAAAUGGAGGCAAAAAUUUUUAGUGGGGUGGGGAAUGAGGUAAACCUCCCCACCCCCACCCCACAUCAUUGCCCUCCCUCAUUGUAUGGUGUUUGUAGUGCUUAUAUUGUGCUCAAGCUACACGGCAACUUUAGCCUCUAUGUUAACCAUUCAACAUAUUAAGUCGGCCUCAAUGGACAAUGUGGGAUCUCAACUGGGAUCGGUUGUUCCAGGAGCUCUAAGCAACUUAAAUUUUAAAUAUUUCGGGGUAAAGAAACACAAUUCUGCUGAAGAAUAUGCCAAUGCUCUGUCCAGGGGGAGUAAGGAUGGUCGCAUUUCUGCCAUUAUUGAUGAAAUGCCAUACGUCAAGGCCUUCUUUGCCAAGUAUUCUGCCCAUUACACCAUGAUUGCACCCAAGUAUACCACCAGUACCAAUGGUUUUGGCUUUGUGAGUAUCUCUACUAACAAUAUUAUAUUUAAGUAAUUAACCUCAUACAGAUUACGCAAAAGCAAUUUUGUAACUAAAUUUUUUAUGUAUCCUCCAGGUUUUUCAAAAGGGUUCACCAUUGGUCCAUGACAUAUCAAGGGCUAUUACAAGGCUAAGAGAAGAAGGGAUUCUUACAAAGAUUGAAAAUGGAUGGUUUAAUGACAGGCAAUCAAGUUUUAUGCACGAGGAUUCCAUACGUAAUAACCCAUCAAGUCUGAGCCUAACCAACUUUGGCGAUUUAUUCCUUGUUACAGGGAUCUCUUGCACUCUAGCUCUUGUUAUAUUCUUACUUCCUUCAAUUUACAAAAAAAAAUCUCUUCUAAAAAGGUGGGUUGUUGGAAAGAAAAAGUAGUACUUCGUUGAAAUUAUCAUUAAGGUAAAGUAACUAACAUAGGGCAUCUUCAAUCACACAAGGUCAUUCUAAAUAUUACCUAUCCAUCUCAAAAUACUAAAGUGAAUUCCAAACAUCUAUAGUCGUUAUAUAUUUAUUUAUUAGAGUCUUAAUGUUAUAUGCGUCGUCACGCAUGUUAUGGUGCGCAACGGGAUGUGUGUCAAUAAUUUAUUAACAAAGUUAUACGGCUCAUAAAAUAACCCAACCAAAUAAAAUUUAACAUGUAUCCCGUCGUGCAUCAGAUCAAAAUUCUUACUCACUGAGUUAUUUGAACAUGGGAAUUAUUUUGUACUCACUACGCUAGUAAGCAUUUUGUACUCACUAAGUUAGUAAGCCUUACCAGUCAUAAAUUAGAUUAUCGGCUGGACAAAAGUCUAAAAUGAGCCUCAUGGAAAUAUUUUUAGCCCAACUCAACGGGGAUAAACUCAAGAGGAGGACGCACAUGAAUCUAAUAAGGUAGUGUUUACUUGCUGGAGUGGGAGUGUGGAGUGUGGAUUCCUCCCACUCCAGCGUUUACUUACCUUAAAAAAUGGGGGAGUGGGAGUGGGAAUCCGUGGGUCCCACUCAAUUUUGGAGUGGGGAGUGGGAUUCCCGCUCCCAUGGGAGGAGGUGGGAGUGGGAAUCCACUCCCCCUUCUUCCCAUUUUAUCCUUAUAAUUAAAAUUAAAAUAAAUAAAUAAUAUUUAAUAAAAUAAAUAAAUAAAAUUUAAUAAAAUAAAUAAAUAAUAUUUAAUAACAUAAAUAAAUAAUAUUUAAUAAAAUAAAUAAUAUCAUAUUUAUUAAAAAUAAUAAUUAUAUCAUAUUUAUUUUAUUAAAUUUAAUAAAAUAAAAAUAAUGGCUGUUUUACUUGAUAAACUCCGUAGUUAAGCAUUCUUAUGCUAGAGUAAUUCAAUGUCACAUGUUCCAUACGUGGGUUAGUACAAUUUAUAGCUGCUUGUAUCUACGAGCGAACGAUUUGAAUUGAACUCGCGCAUGGUGGAUUCACAAUCCACGCCCUUGAUCCACUUGGCUACAUCAGCCCCUCGGCUACAAAUAAUUUAAUUAACGCGGUAAAUUCGAUCGAAGAGCUUUAAGAGUAAAGCAUUGAAUAUUCCUUAACCUCAUCUUAAGCAUAUAAAAAUUAAAACAGGUUCGUUUCGCUUUUGAUUGCCAUGAAAAAUAUAAAAGCAUAAAACAUACACCUCAAAGAAGAUUUACACUUUAAUAGCAUCUGUCGGUUACUCUUGUUUACGUUUCUCGAACAGUCAAUUAGUUUGAUCCAAACCAUGAACUGCUUUGUGUUUGCUCCAUCAGCAUAUACUGCCAUUAAUCCCAAAAAAAUGAACUACUGUUGUUUAUGAAAGAUUGAUCCAAGGAGUUGAUGUGGAUAAAUUCUUUAACCACAAGUUGACGAAUAGUGGAUAUAAUAAUUAGACUUUAAACAAAUGUGAGAUCACUAAAAUUAAUAUAAAUAAAUAAAUAAAUAGUCAUAUUUUGAUAAAUGUAAUGAGUAGUAGUACACUUCUCAUAUAAUAUUCCAAGCGACAAAGGGAAGCAAUUAAGGCAGUGUUUACUUUCUGGAGUGGGAGUGUGGAGUGUGGAUUCCUCCCACUCCAGUGUUUACUUACCUUAAAAAAAAGGAGAGUAGGAGUGGGAAUCUUUGGGUCCCACCCAAUUUUGGAGUGGGGAGUGGGAUUCCCGCUCCCAUGGGAGGAGGUGGGAGUGGGAAUCCACUCCCCCUUCUUCCCAUUUUAUCCUUAUAAUUAAAAUUAAAAUAAAUAAAUAAUAUUUAAUAAAAUAAAUAAAUAAAAUUUAAUAAAAUAAAUAAAUAAUAUUUAAUAACAUAAAUAAAUAAUAUUUAAUAAAAUAAAUAAUAUCAUAUUUAUUAAAAAUAAUAAUUAUAUCAUAUUUCUAUAUUAAUUUUGUACUAUAUUAUCAAUAAUAAUAUUUCAUUUGUGUUGCUAUUAUUAAUAAUUUUUAUUCACAUAAUUUAAAUUAAAAUUAAUAAAAACUAUGAUUUACAUAAUUAAGAAUAUUAGUAAUUAUUAUUAAUUUAUAAAUAUAAUAAAAUAUUUAUUUUAUUUUCCAAAUAUAUUUUUUAUUAAUUUUUUAAUUACAAAUUAUAAUUCUGUACAUAAGGAUAAAAUUGUAAUUUAAAAUAAUUUACUCCCAAUCCAAGACAAAGUAAACAAAUAAUUGAGAUUCUGAUUGACAAUCCAUACUUUCAUUUAGUCUAAGUAAACACCAUACUCCUACUCUCACUCCACACCCCUAAUCCAAGGAUUCUCACUCUUCAGGAUUUCCACUCCACUCCAAUCCAAAAAGUAAACGCAGCAUAAGAGUAAUCGCCUAACAGGUACAAAAGUAUAGGUCGAUUUGAUAGCUAUCUGUCAGGCAGGCCUGAGGACAGCUGGAAAAGAUGUCGCCUCGUUUCUAGCUCCGGGUUCGGCAGUUUUCACCCUUCUGGCUUCUCGAACCCUUCAAGAGUCUAAAAAAGUUUCAUAAUUUGUUUUAGAAAAAGUAAGGGGACGCACAUUUGGUAACGUCUUAAUUAAUUUUAUAACCCCAAUCGCCAAGAAAUUUAGGCGACCAACUAAUAAAACAAAGAGCAAAACACAGUUUUAUAACACAACAAAAAGUUUGAUUGAAAAAUAUUAAAAGCCAUACAAACCUUCUUAUUUCGCUGAAAAUUAAACUAUAUUUUCUUUUAGCAAACACCAAACUCUCUUUUAUGAAUACAAUUUUUACCACAUUUCUUUUUUCAUAGAUAAUAGGAUCACAUAGAAUAUAUCUUAGUGAAAUAAGAGAAGCUUUCAUACAAUGGUAGGUGUAAUAUGAAGAAGAAACAAGAAAAAUGACAAUGUAAUUAUUGAUUAUUAGUUGGCACUAUCGAUGUGGUUAUUGAUUCAUACAGAAGAAAGAACAAGAUAAGUAAGAUUCCAUCCAAACCAUGGGGAUACAUUGAUUUAUAUUUACAACUAAAAUUCUCUUGCAAAUACAAUGCAAGGAGAUACUAAAAUUUUAUUAAGUACAUUUUGUAAUUUCCAGACUCCGAGACCCCAGCAUCCACCUAAAAGUAAAAAGCUAACAUGAACCACCACUCAGCGACACUUUUCUUUCUCAAACUACACUCCAAACCUCCAUAUACAAGUUACUCAAUACCCCAGUGAAUCAGUGAUUAUCAAGAAUAGAUUAUAUUGGACGCAACAAAUACAAGUUACUCAAGAAAAGACAGCCAAAAUGCAGUAUGCUGAAAUCUUUGCAGUUAUAUAUAUCACAAGUAUCUAACCCGGUAUUAGAAGCAGCUCUUUCUUAAUGUGUUUGUUAGUCGGGGACUGUGUAGACACAGGAACAACUUGCAUUUGCGGUGUGCAACCAAAAUACUUCACCAGAAUAAAUAUAAUUAAUGAGCAGCUUUAGGUCCUUCCUUUGCCAUGCAUCUAUCUCUUGACCAGCAAAAGAUUCUUCCAAGAUUCAAACGAUAUGCCAAUUACUCCUGUUCGGGCUACUUUCUCGCCAGGUUUCUCUACAUGCUUGCCAUAUGCAUAGCAUCGGUUACAUAUCCUUCCAAUUUGAGAAAUCAUCAAAGACUUGUAAAUAAAAAAGUAGAAAAACCAAAAAUCAAUGAGUAAAUAACGUCUUUCUUCAAAUCAUCCUAUAUUCAUAUUGAUUUUCUAUUUGUGAAAGUAAAUCAACAAAUGAUUAGAAAUUAUUAAGAAAACUACAGAAAUUGUUGGCUGAAUGAAAGACCUAUUUUGUCUCCAUGAAGGGACAAGCAGUGAGCUUAGACUUACAAUCAACUGAAUCUCCAAGGUAACAUGAUGGAGAAGUCAACUGCAAGAUAUUCAAAAGAUCAAAGCCAACUGCAGUACCCUUGCAUGAACCAUUCCGCUCAGUGACCAUCAAAAGGCCUAUUUCGUCUCCAUCAAGCAAGAACUUCAGUGUGUCUUGCAAAUGAAGAAAAAGAGUGAAGGAAAUACUCAAUAAUAGAGCCCAUCUUUUUUUCUCAUGGCAGUGGCAACCUUCUACAAUUCAAAAUGAUUUCAUUUAUAUAGACGUUCAAGAAAGCGAAUGAAUAACCAAGCUCAUUGUACAGAUUACCUCAUCCAAGUAAAGUCAGCCAUAAAACCAAAUUAAUGCAUUUGGCACAGAAAGUGAAUCAGGAUUUUCUAUUCAACUCCUCCCAAGUAUAGAUUUUGAUUUUUGACCCUGAUGUUCAAGACGAAACGUGCAUCACUGGUUUAAAAAAAAAUGUUAUAUAAACUGUGUUAACACUAAAGUAAAUUGCAUACAUAUACUCAAUGCAAAAACAAAUGUACCUUUUGUUAUAUUUAUAUCCAUUACAACCUGGUAAAUAUAAUGUUAGAUAAAAGACUUGUGUGGUUUAAACUUUUUUUGGAUUGAGCUUUGGCAUAGAUUGAAUGUCUUUCAUCCAUGUCCAAAAAUCCAGUUUUCAAACAAAAGCAAGGUUUGAUCGAUUUAGCAUUUGAGAAUAACUCGAUCUUUGAAUCCACAAAUCUGCAUGAUAAAACUUGAAGUAUAUCAUCAACUUAGUCAGAAGCAAGAAAACCAUAACUUCGUAUGUGCAUACAUGGUCCAUGGCAUCAAUGAACGAUACUAACGUACAAAUUGUGGCUUCGCAAUUACCAUACAAGAAAGCAUGAUAGCUCGCUUGCUUAGUGAUUACAAUUGCUGCACAGAUGACUUAAAUUAGAAGAAUUAAUGCUACACAAACAUAGUUUGCAAUAUAAAAGUCAUAUCACAACUGAUCUGCUGGUUAAUUUGGCACCCCUGUAAGACUUUCCUAUGAAUAUUAGAAUAAUUUACGACAAACUGCACAGUGCUAAGUCAAUUACCACCUCAUAUCCCAAGUUCAUAUGUGUAGCAUUAUUGGAAAUGGAAUAAUUGUCCGGAAAAGAUAGGAUCCAAACAUUAUAGCAAAUACUUACAAAGAUUAGAAAUACAUAAAUGAAGUACAAGUUUUCACUUACCCUAUAACAAUGACCUAUUUAUUUUAUUAAUGGUAAGGAAAAAUCAAAAAAGAAAAUAUUUAUUUAUUAAAGAAAUAAAAAGGUUCCAUUGUCCUUGAUUGACAUUAGGCCAUCAACCAAACUAAAUGUUUGAUAUCUAGAUAAAUAUGAUAUGAGGAACAAUAACAAUCCAAACCCAUAGUGAUAUGAAUUAUUGUGGGGGAAAAAAAAUAUAUCCUGUAGGUUAUGUACCCUCUUUAUUUAAUUUAUUCAUCAUACAUUCUUGUGUAUUAUAGUAAGUGCUAAAAAAUAGAAAGAACUUAAGGCUGAAACCUUAAAACCUAAAAAUUUCUCUCAGAAAGGGAAAAAAAUGAAAUAGUCAAAAUAUUUACACAACAUAAGAAAAUAGGCAAAAUAAAGAAGUGGAUAGAGAAAAGCAACUAAAAAUCUCCUUCAAUUUUUUUUUUUCAUCUUCACAGCACUAAAUACUAUGUUAGCAUCAUGUAUGAAGAAUGCCGAACAGAUCCUAUUAGAUAUUAAUGGCAGUGAGCUAGUUAUUUCUUCCAUUUCAAAAUUAUUUACACUUACACCUUUGCCAGUUAAUUUUUUGUUUUUCCCAACUCUAAAAAUUAUUACACUGCCUUGCUUCAAAGCAUCAAAAGUAAUUCAAAUUCAUCUUUUACAAUAAAAAUCAACAAUAAAAUUGAUGAAUCUAAAUAACAUGACGAAAGAUAGAAAAACUACAAACCUCUAUAAUUAAUAAUAAGAAUACCUCAAAUCUGAAUUUCAGCUUUGAAAAUUAAGAGUACAGAAUCACCUGCUUCCGUUCUUUUGCUAUUAUAGAGAGCCAACAGAGAAUAUUCAACUGCGUUAAGCAAAUCGUAUGACAAUGGUAGAGAGCACGCUAGUAGACAGCCUUGCCAUUUGCACGAAUGCUGACGGGUGUGCUCUCUCUCAUUGUCAAACAAAGUUGUCUCGAGUCUGGGCAAGGAUUAUAUAUCUGCACCAAAAAGUAACAAUACAAUCAGAAAACCUUGCAACAAAGAAUGUUCAUUUGAAAAACUGCCUAUACAUUUUUCUCUCCUAUGAAUAUGAAGGAAAAAAAAAGAAAAACCAAUGUAUCCCUGAUCUCAAAAUACAAUUCUUCUAAUAGAACUUCCAAAAUCAACUUCUUUAAUCUAAUGGCAGCUGGACAACAACCAAUACUUUGAAUUUCAAUUACCAUGUUUACUAAUAUUGGAGCAGCUUAAAGAGAAGCAUGAUCCAACUAGAAUUUUCUUCGAAGCCAAUGAAGUUUCAAAUUCAUGCACAAUCUGGAUUGUCAACUCAAAGGCUAAAAUAACAUCAAUGACCAUUCAUUCUUUCUUCUUUACAAGAGAAAGAAAAGUUUACAUCAUAAGAUAAAUGGCAUAUUCUUUAGAGCAGAAAAUAAGUAGCAUUAUCAUAUACAAUUAAUCAUCUAAAGCCUCAACGGCUAGAAUUCAAUCAAAGCAAUAAAAGUGUAAGAAAAUGAAAGAUUGACAAAAAGAAAACAUAAGGAAAAUCAGAAGCGGGAGCCGGCAAUUGAGAGUAAAAUAUAGAGCUUUGCCCUUACUAAUAUAUGAUUUUUAAAAUAAAAAAAAAAAGAAAGAAAGAAGGAAAAACAGUAAAAGCUAUAUGAAUAUAUUUUUCCAGAAAAGGAAAGAAACUUCUUACCCCAAUCUAGAACAUGCUAGGAAAAAAAAAAUCCAUUAAACCCUAAUGCCAUGCCCCUUAGAAAAGAACGAAGGAAACAGCAGAUAAGAAAUUCUUUUAAUUAAAAAAAAAAAGUUAAAAGAUAACAAAACAAACAUAAAUGAAAGCCAACUUUUAACUUACUAAAAACUCUCUUUCAAGUUAUGCUUGCACGAGAUAGAAUUCUCAGAUCCCAAUUCCCGACUCAUAUCAUCAAGCAACCAAACAAACAAACAUACACUGAUACUGCACCAAAUAUAAAAGCAAAAGCAAGAAGCAAAAUAAGAAAAGAAAAAAACUACUUUCAUACUGAAAAUUAAAUAAAAAAAAGUUUAAGAAGAAACAAAAAAAAUUGCGAUAUAUUGAGAGUCAUAUAUAGACCUUGAAAAUGUAAAAUGACAUGGUGGGCUGAUCACUUGGAGAAUCCCAACAGCAGCACACAUGGUGCUGGAAGACCAACAAUUUGUCAGAAAAGAUAAGAAUAAGAAGGUACCUGAAGAAGAGGGGAAAAGAUAAUUAGCAAAUAAUUAAUUAUUUAAUUAAUUACUUAAUUAAUUAAUAAUUGAACAAUUAGACAUGAUGUGAGUAGUUGAGUACUUUUUUCUUUUCCUUUUUUGUAGGAUGAGUACUUUUUUCCAUUUAUUGCAUGUAAUGGGUUAAUGGGGUCACCAUCAACGCAGAGAUUCGACAGUCAGGAUUCAUCCACGUAUGUCAUAUCCUUAUGUGAUGUGUGUUAUGUAGUAAAACGGAACAAAGGUACAAGACAGGUUAAAUAUCUAAUGUACCUAUGACUGGUUCACGUGAUUUUACUGCGAGUGAAAUGCACGUAUUUUGGGGGUUGGCGGGGUUAGAUGUCAUCAUCCGAGUUAGACUGAAGUCACAUCAAACCGUUCAAUGCUGCGGGACCCGUUGGAGUGACAUUUUUGAGGGUGAUACCACGCAGCUAUUAGUGGGCUGUAGCCCUAGCACCAUUGGAUUUGCCUUGAACCAUUGGUACCUUUAUAAAACUCUUUUCAUCAAAAGGACAUGACGAUUUUAGAGUUGCUUUAAAUUAUUAUUACUUACAUAAAAUGAUAAAUAAUAAAAAUAUAUUAUAAUUUUAAUUAUGUAAUUAUAAAAAAUAUUCUAUCAUAAAACAAUUUCAACAUAAUCAAACCCUUUCUGAAAAUAUCCCCUCAAUUAAUGAAUGAAUUUAUUUUUAGGUAGGAUUAUUGGUAUUGACUAAAGUUCCUUAUUGCACUCUUUUUUCAAUUAAAAACUUUAUUAUGAAAAUAUAAUAUGAUCAAUUAUUUAUUUUAUCUUACUAUCUCUUUUAAUAUCUCCUUUUUUAUCAAAAUUUGUCAAGAUACAUAAGGUAAAUAUUAUAUUUAACGAAUAAAUUUGUUCAAAAAUUAACAAAUUCAACGUUAUUUUAAGCUUAAAAAAAUAAAAGGAUUAGUAAAAAUUUUUGUACCGCAUUGAACCUAUUAAAUUUUUUUUUGUCAAAUCUUAGAAGCAAAAACUUUAAAUAAUAAUAAUAAUAUGAGGUAAAUCUAGUAAUGUUAUAGUAAAGAAUAAGGGAAAGGUAAAGAUAGAUUAAUUAAAAGUUAUAUUUUAUUAGGGUAUUUCUAGAAAUAAGUUAGAUUAAUUAAAAGUUACGGCUGAUGAAAUAAAUCGAGGGGAUCAAAUAUCACUAAUCCUCUAGUAAACCAAUAAUCCAUAUGCCAUAGGCUUGGGGAGGUUUGAGAUUGUUAAUAGAAGAAAAAAAAAAGGGUAGAGAGGCGUGAGCAAAGUUAAAAUUAUUAUUUUUUAAUUCUUCUUAAAUUGGAUGGACAAUCAAGAUUAGAGUUCCUAUUUGUAGGGUAGGUUUUCAAGACAGAAAUGCCUUACUUCAUCUGGAAAGGACUUUCCCUCGUGGGAAAGAGAAGUUACUUAAAACAUAAGGGCAAAAGGAAGUUAAUAAUCAAUAGAAAAAAUCUCUUCUUGGCUGAUGUGACUUUGCGUCUUUGGUCCUUAUUUCAUCUCAAACUCAAUUAAAUUAAAUUUAAAUUUAAAUUAUAUGCAUUUAAUAAAUUUGAGGGAAUAAAUAUGUAAUUUCAACUAAUUUAAUAGUGUGUCAUUUGAAUUUUUUGACUAAGUGGACGCAGCUUGUCUCUUAGUGGCUUCGCUGCUAUCUAUCUUUUUUUAAUUCCAUAUUAUUAAUUGUUUCAUAAACCCCAAUUUUAUAGAGUUAUUUGUCAAUUGAAAGACCUAAGAGAAUGACAAUAGCUAGAGUUGAAGAGAUACCUAUAAUAAGAAACAAAACCCAAACCCAAAGUUAGUGAGGAUUAGAUUAGAUGGAUUACUCACGAAAUUACUUAAUUGCUGGCCAUUAAACCAUACGUGUUCUUUCUUUGUAAGCACUAAGCAUCCCUUCUUCUCUUAGCCUUUGACAUGUCAAGGACCAAUGGAGAACCUUUCUAGAAAACGUGCUUAAUAUAUAUUUAUUGGUUAUACAUCUUUAAGUGAUGUAACUAUAUGGGCCUAAAAGGGAAACCAAAGUUCCCUGUGUGUAUUGCCCAGACACUUGGAAGUGCACUACAACAAAGUUAUUGAAAAAAUAUAAUUGCUGUAGAUUUCUGAUAGUAUGAUAAAAUAACCUUGAAAAAUAUGUCUCACAAAGCCAAAACCAUUGGUAAUACACGUGGGUCCAAACAUGGUAUAAUGGGAAGCAUAUACUUGGCAAGGAAUGCCUUGAUGUAAGGAACUUCAUCAGAAAUUGUGGUGACGCUGUCCUUAGUCCCCUUGGAUAAAGCAUUGGCAUAAUCUUAAGCAGACUUGUAUGGCUUAAGCAUGGAAUUUUCAAAGUUUAAGCUGUCUAUAGCUCCUUAGAUAAACGCUGUCCUUACUCCCCUUGGAUAACGCAUUGGCAUAACGUAAGUAAUAAAUAUAUAAAUUAGAUAUUUCUCGAGUCUUUAACUAAUGUCCACUUGGUUCGGAAGUUAAUAAGAUAAUUCAAAUCUAAAAUUGUUUCAUUAAAAAUUUAUGUGAGCUUAUGAUUUUUUGAAAAUUAAUAAUUGUAAAAAUUUUAUUUACCACUAUUAUCAACUUUUAUUUUAUAAGUAAAGUUUCUAUUUUUAUCAUGACCGUACCUUUGAAGCACCGUAAUCCAAACUACCAAACUGAGUCUAAGACUAUAUAUUGCUGUUUGUUACAAACUUACAAUAUCGUAUUCAUUUAUUAUACAAUUGUCAGGCAGCAAAAUCAUACCUCGAGAACAUUAAAAAUGAGAUUAAAAUAGGAUCCAGCCAUUUAUCCAUCGUCAUUCCAAAACGGAAUAAAGUCGUAAGGUACAUCAUAUGGUAAAGAAUCCUAUUGCAGCCUUGAGUAGGUCUAGACAGAAUCCUUUUACAUUUGUGGCAUUAUUGGAUUGCGGAUCGUGAACCACACUAACAGAUUCUUUAAACCCAAAUUUCACUAGAACCCUAAUCCUUGACUUAUUAAUCCUACCAGUUCCUCCCGGAAUGGCUGCAGAUCCUCCUGGUCAUAUGAUGAUUUCAAGGUCAUCGCGAUAAUGAAUUCAUUUCCUGUGUGAUAUUCCCUGCGGUUGGAGUCUAAAAGCCAACUCUUCUUGUGCCUUUGCUAAUGACAUUUACAAUUUGAAAUCCCAUUAAAAUUAAUUUCCAAUUAGUCAACCGAAAAUCACCACUUAAACUCUCGAAGCUACUGUUCAGUGUAGGGAUGGCAAUUGUACCCGCAAACCCGCCCAAACCCACCCACCAAAACCCGCCCGUUGCGGGUAAUUUUAUCCGUUGCAGGCAGGUUUAGUAUUAUAAAUUAAAACCCGCACAUGGAUGUGGGUGGGUUUGGUAUUAACUUUAUAUCCUGUGGAUACCCGCAUGGAUAUCCACCAAACCCGCAAUAUUUUUUUCAAAUAUUUUUAAUUUAAUUUAAAUCUAAAAAUGUAUAAAGAAAAUAAUGUCAUUAAUUAAAUUACCAAAUAGCCAAAGGCUCAAAGUUGUGUAUGUGUGUAUGUGGCCUAUAUCAUAUUCUAAAGUCAUAAUCUAAAGAAAACUAAAGGCAUUUUCCUUCGAAUUAGUAUUUGAAAAUAUUAAUCUUAAUUAUUAUUAUAGGCAUUGUGUUGGAUGGGUGCUUAUGGUGGUGAAUGAAAUGAAUAUCUUCUCUUGGAGCUUGUUUUAAAUGAUAAUAUGAAAUGUAAUUAUUAUUUUUAGAUACUAGUUUGUGUUUUUUAAAUGGAUUUGUGUAAUUUAUACUUAAAUUUGAGAAUUUGUGUUGAAUUGAUGUGGAAAUUUUAAUUUUUCAUUUACAUUAUUUAAAUAUAAAAUUGAGUAUGUUAUAUGGAAUUUGAGGUUAUUAUUAUAAAUUUAUAUAUUAAACAUUUGUGAUUUUAAAUACGGAAACCCGCAAAAAAUCCGCCGGAUACCAUUGCGGGUUUGGUAAUUGUUAAAACCCGCUGCGGGUGGGUUUUUGUAAAAAAAUUAAAACCCGCUGCGGGUUGCGGGUGGGUUUGGUAAUUUAAAUUUUGUUCGGGUUUGAAUUUAGUAAUGGCAAACCCGCUGCGGGCGGUGCCCAUUACCAUCCCUAGUUAAGUGUCUCCAUAUAAAAUGUAAGACCACUUGUGAAGAUUGGAUGGUGGUUGAGUCCAUCAUGUUCAGUCUAGCUGGAACUAUCAUGAUCUUCAUUUUCAGAAUAAUCCCCUGUAAGUUUCAACUUUUCAGCUGCUUUGCUAGCUAGAGCCCAGAUCAUAUGCCAAAAUCCCAAACGCAUCUAAUUCCGAUACCUCAGCAUCUGGAAUAUCAAUAUAAAAUUUCCUUCUCCACCUUAGAGUAAAAUUCUGAAGCUCCGUGGAGGAUGGAACAUAACGCUUGAAACCCAAAGCCCCUUGCAUGGACACGAGUACGGAUGAAUCCAUUGAGUGCAAUAAAUUCAUAGUUGUGUCAGCCACAAGCCAAGCAACCCUCACUUAUCAUUCCUGAUUUCUUAGCAUUCGAGAGCAAAUGGGAUGCAACAACAUGCGACACGUUCACCACAAAUACUUUUAUUGUAAAGUCAUGAGCAUAGAGAGCUUUUCGAUGAUUUGAUCAUCGUUAUAUGAAGAUGGGACGGCUAUCCUUUGAGCAAUAUAAAGAUCACUACUGUGUAGGGAAUCCAACAUAUAAGGAAUCAUACUAUCAGUCCCCAAAGUAUUAUCCUCAUAGAUGAGAUUGACGGCUUACAUUCGAAGAUUGCAAAACCAUUAGAAAUGCCCUUAGCUUGCUGAGAAGCUUCAUCUUGAGGUAUAUUAAUCAAGUAUGACGAGGACAGAAAAGGGACGCAUGCAAAGAGAGAAAUGAUAGGAAUGUUAGCUCUCGAUCCUAACUCUUCUAAAAUUUGUCCUUCGCAUGAUGCUUCCGUACAAAUGAUUGCUUGCAAAGUUGCAAUUCUACAUUUUGCAUACGAUUCAAGGCAGCAUUUGAAGUUAAUAGGAUGGAACUUCAAUCGCUAAUGAUAAUUCAUAGGAUAGGAAUCAAAUUAAAAAUUGAGCAUGAAAUUUGAAUUUAAGAAUAUGAUAUAAUGAUGACAAAACAACUGUAUUAUAUAAUAUUAUAGUGUUAAGUCAAAAUUUAACAUUUAUUUUCAGUUAAUACUAUAACGUUAUAUGAUUUUACUGUUAUAUUUAUCGUCGUUGCGUCACUGCUAGCGCUUCGGCUCUUCAUCACUUUCCUUAAAAAUUAGAUUGUAGUGCAUAUGAUAAUUAUAAGAGAGGGAAAAAAUGUUAUUGGAUGUUUCUACUGAACCAUUUUUGGAAAGGAAAGAAAAUUUAUACGCCACAUACAUGCAUAGGUGGAUGACAGAUUGCAUGUUCAUGGACGGAGGUGCACAACAACAUUUCUCGUAGAAAAAAAAAAAAAAUCUCUUAAGUGCGCAUACGCAUGCAUACAUAUACAUUGUAAUUUUAAAAUAAAGGAAAUUUUUACUAAAUUAAAAUAAGUGAUAAAUUAAAAAAAUAAAAAAUAAAAAAUACGUAUUUCAAUACAAUUUAUUUUAUCCUAUAGAGUAUUAAAAAAAUUAUAUAUUUUUGUAAAUUGUCCAAGAUAAAAGAUUCUUUUAUUGUAAAGUUACUUCAUAUAUCUUUUUAAGAAAAAAGAAAAAAGAAAAAAAAACUCUAUAUUUAUAUGUCAAAAUUGUCCUUAAUAAUUUUGAAAGUUUUUCAAUGGGCCCUUGUAAUCUUAGAUUUUCCAUAUACUGUGGUUUAUAACUUUUAUGAGUUCUUAAAUUGAACCUUGUGAAAAUCAUAAUUAUAUAGUAUCAUUUAUUAUUUUUGAAAUUUAUAAAAAUGAGUCGUGUUCACUGUUCAGGUCUAAGAAUUUCAAUAUUUACAAGAAGAGCACUUAUGAACAAUAGACUUAGGCUCCGUUUGGUACAACUUAUUAAAUAAAGCUUAUAAUAGUUGAGCUUAUAACAGUAGAGCUUAUACCAAUAGAGCUUUUGGACAAAAAGUCAUUGGGUGUUUGGUUGUUAAUAAAAAAAAUAUUUUUUAACUAUUAAACUGUGUGAUAUUUUUUAUAUUAUAUAUUUUUAGAAAAGUUAUCUAACUUCUACUCCCAAAAGCUCAAAUUUUGGGCUUUUACUAGUAGAGAUAUUUUUUAACUAUUAAACUGUGUGAUAUUUUUUAUAUUAUAUAUUUUUAGAAAAGUUAUCUAACUUCUACUCCCAAAAGCUCAAAUUUUGGGCUUUUACUAGUAGAGGUAAAUUAGCUUAUUUAAGCUAAAAAAACUCUACUAAAAAAAUAACCAAACACCAUAAAAAAUUUUAAAAAGUGCUUCUACGAUUAAAUAAGCACUUAUAACUCUUAAAUAAGUCAUACCAAAUAAGCACUUAACGUAUGUAGCAUAUGUUAUUCAGUAUGUUCAACAUGCUGAGUUUUGACGACAUAUUGUCUAAUAGUUCACCAUUUAUCACAAUGUAGCCCGGAUGGGCAAAUCUAAAACAUGGUAUAUUUUUUUAAAGGAAAGAUUUCAAUUCGAGACGGGUUGAAACCACAUUGUAAACAAAUUUUUACAACUUAUAAAUUGUUUGACAUGGUUAACACAAUUAUAUAUUAAUUCACAGUAAAGAGCAGUAUGCAUAUAUAUACAGUAAAAUAAUGUUAUCUGUAGAUAAAGCACGAGACGGAUCUCCCUUAGAAUCCCUCGAGUGGAGAACUAGCCUUGUUUUGUGUCGAGUAUUUAGAGCAUAAACAUCAGAAAUGACAUGGAAAUGCAGCUAAUGCUGAUAUUCCCUGACCGUGAUCGCAUAUCAAGGAUGUCUCCAACAUGUACUUCAUCUGCACUUGAACUUGUUUUAUUCGUGAACUUUUCAAGCUCUGCACGCGAUGGACUGAAAAAGGAUAAGCAAGAAAAUAAACGAGAAAAAGGGCUUGCUUCUUAAGCUGCUGCUCCAUUGGCCCAAUAGUAUUUGAACCCAUUAUCAGCAACUUCAACACGUGUUUCUGAUUCCGAGAAGCAACACAGCCGGCAGAGAUUUGAAUGUUCAACUUGGAGUCUUGGAUCUAACAUCAGAAGAAAGAACAAAAAUUAUUCUAUAGUUUUCGAGUGUUAAGAUCUAGACUACAUAUCGAGUGAGAGAGAAAAAAAAAUUGAAUAUAAUAUCAUCACCUAUCGGCUCUUGACUAUUGGCUUCGCCUUCUUGCCAGCUCGAGUGAUCAAGUAAAUUUCAUGAAUAUAGAUUGACACAUAGACUAGAGUGCAACAUGGCCUUCUUUUAGACUGUGGAAAUUAAACCAAGUCAACCAUGGCCUUUUAAAUUAACUUAUGUGAAUAACUAAGUCAAUCUUAUUUCUUAGAAAACUUGUUGGGAAGCUGUAUCUUGCGGCCUACAUUUAAAUUUGAGAAAAUAAAUACAUAAACUAGGAUAAAGAUCCUCUCUUAAUCUAAGUUUUCAUGAGUUUUUAAAAAUCUUGUGUCAUGUGUCUUUAACUGAUAGUAUAUGGAUAAAAUUUAAUUUCUUUUUUUUAUUUAUUUAUUAACUACCAAUCACUCACAUGUAUUUUUACUUAUAAUGAGAUUAGAUCAUGAGAGAAUUAUAAUCCUAUAAACUAAUGGAAAUAAUGAAUAAAUAAUAUUGGAGGAAAUAUCCAUGAUAAACAUUGUAAUGAUGUUGGACAAUUUUAAAAAGUGUUUUUAUUUUACGUUAGUUUUCUUAUUUUAGUCAUUUUCUUUUUUUUCACAAGAAUAGGAAUCUGUUCGAAAGGGGUGAAUUGAGUCUUAUUUCUGAUAAUUUGGCAUCAAAAUCUUUGCUUUUACCUUAACUUAGUAUGUUCACGCUAGCAAUUAGCAUUGAGAUAUAGCUGUCAGAGAAGUAAAAGAAUAUAGUUAUGAAUAAGGUAAUAUGUAGAGAAGCUAAAUGCGAGCUUACCGAUUACAAAAAUAUUAUUGUUGGACACCUGAUAUUCAAAAGUAGUCUAAACUAAUUUUUUAGGCACAUUUUAGACUCUCUCUCCUGACAUAUUAAGGGCAGUUUGAUAAUGUUGCGGCUUUUAAAAUAAUUAAUAUUAUUGGUAAUGGAUGGGUUUAAAUCACACCUCCUUCCACCACUAGCAAGAUAGUAAAUGGUCUUUGAUCAUUCUGGGAACAGAGGAUUUUGCUAUAGGGACUGCUUAGUGCUCACAAGGUCUGGAAUGUGUGAGUUUUGUUGAUUUUGUUUCCUUUUUUCAGUAACAUUACUUUCUCAGUAAUGAAUUAAUUUUUUAUAAUGCUUAAUUUAUUCAGAUCUCAAAAGCACAUCAAUGAGCUUAUUGGUCACUGCAGCUGGAAUAAUGCAAAAGGGAAAAUGUAAACAAAAUUAUCAAGAAGGUGAAAAAUGCUGGAUUUUCACUAGUUAUCUUGGUUAAAUGUAUAUGGUAAACUUCAAUUUACUCCGUACUUAAAAUAAAAAGGUAGAGUAAUUUAAGUUUGUACACUUUUGAUAAAUAAAUUGAAAAUUGCUCUCGUAUAUGGAGGAAUAAAUUGAAGUUUACCCAAUAUAUGUUAUAUACAUUUUCAUUAUUUUUAAUUUGAUACUUGUCCUUAGUUUCCACCAAGUGAUUUUAUGGCAAUGCUUUUCAAUGGCAUUGUGGAUUAUAUAGUAGUGAUUUAGAAUGGAAUGCUCAUGCCAUUCAUGUAUGUGAUAUUAAUUAAACUAAUUAAAAGGUAACUAAAGGCCCUUAAAUACACAAACAAUCUAGAUCUUAAGUAUUUUCAUUUAUACUAGUCCAUUCUGAGUACUUAGACCUGUUUAGAUUUUCUGAAAAUUUACUUCUCCAGUAAGCAUUCAAAGCUAUUACUUUAAAUUCUUAAGCAGAUGCAUUUCAGUUGUUAUCUGUUUGAUAUUUUUAUGAAUAAAGCACUGAGGUUGGCAUUCCAUUGUUAACAGGGCAAUUCACAAAGUUGAUUAGCGGUGGAAGGUGUGAUUGAUAUAUAAGGGCAAAGUAUUCACACUUCAUGGAAGCAAGUUAUAGCCAGGGCUCUUCAUUAAUGCUUGACGAUGGGGCUAUAAUUUCAGUACUUGAUAAUUUGUUUAUAUUUGCAACUAUAUUAGGAGAUCGACUUGCUUGCUCGUAAGAUUAUUCUGUUGGCAUCAUUUUAGAAAGUUUAUAUCUUCAUAAUAUCAACUUACAAAGAAUCUAUACCAGGAUUGGUAUAUAUAAACGAAAACAAAGCUACUACAACUUAAUCAAUUUAAUUUUUUUAUCCAGAAAUAUAGGUACCAAAAAUGAUGUGGCAUACAAUUCGAAUGAAUAACACAAGAAAGCAAGUAGUACCUUGAGAGCAGAGGCAAGAAUUUGAAGGGCUUCAAUAGAAGAAACCAAGUUUCUUGCCUGGUGAUUCACAGGUACAUGUACUUGAUCUUCAUGAAAUAUUAGCACAAGAUUCCAAGAAGAGAAAAAUGAAACGCUCAAACAUAGAUGGGCAUGUCUUGUGGACCUUGAUGGAUCGGACUUCUUGAAAAUCUUGUGGGCCUUGAUUGAGUGAGAGUCACGCGAAGGCCACAUGCAUGUUUGUUGAAUGUUAUGAAAAAAUGACAGAUGUUUUCAAAACCAUGAAAACACAUGAACAUGCAUUAACUUAACAUAACUUCUUCAACCCCAAGUAACUUUACAAGCACAUUUUUAUCGCACUGGUGUAGAAAAACCCGGAACACAAGUGCAUGGAACAUGUCUACUUCUUUAAACUCGAUCUAUGUGUGUGUGUGUGUAAAAUAUGAAUCUCCUACUCUUAACAAAGUAAGAUAUAAGUUUAAAAAAUGAAAAAAUAAAUUUCAAUACAUUGUAUAGGAUAACAUACACUGCAUUAAAUUGUGUAUGUUUUAUAGUUUAAUUCAUCUUUUAUUUUAUUAAACUAAGUAGUUCUCUAAUAGAAAAUAUCUGUGUUCAUUGUAUUAGUAAUUUUAAUUAGCAGUUUUAUGAAGUCCUGCUAGCUGCUUGCUUGAUCUUUUAAUAAUUGAAGCAAAGGGUGGGUGACUCUGUACCAGCCUCUUGGAAUUCGCAAAGGUCAACUUGAAAUGAAAGUUUUGCGUAAGGUAGUUAUAUAUGCGUUUGUGAGCGCUUGUUUUCAAUGUAAAUAUGCUUAAAGGACAGAUCUGACUUUCUAAGCAAGUUUAUAUUUCGUAUUCAUUUCACAUUUGUUCAAAGAUGGAACAGCAGAAGAGGCCGAUAUCAAUUCUUCGACAUUUCGUCCCUACCGUUCUUUUGCUCUCUGCGGUUUUCUUCAUCGGUUGUGCCUUUGUAGUCACAGGCUCUAAAGAGGUAGCCACAAUUGCAUAAACCUCGUAGCAUGAGUGACACAUUUUGUUAGCACAGACUUUGAAUGAUUUAUUUUCUGGCAAGAAAGUAGUAACAAUGGUCUUUUAUAUACAUAUAUAUAAUUUUUAGCAGAGGAAUUCGCUAUGGAGAGUGCUUAGGAGGUCUAGGAUGUGUGAGGUAUUGAUGAUUUGCUUCCAUUUUCUGUUCAUACUUUAUGCAAAUGCAAUGAUUUGUCACCCUAUAUAUUCAGACUCAGUGGAGACCACGUGGCAGCGAGACACUACCUAGUGGUAUCGUCGCUAGGACAUCUGACUAUGAAAUGCGAUCAUUAUCAGGCAAAGGGAACAAAAAGGUCAGUAGCUAUAUAGAUUUUAUGUAGCAUUACUUUCCCAAUAAUGACAUUAACUUGUUCUAUUUGCUUUGUUUAGAACUCGAAGACAUCAAUGAGCUUAUUAGCCAUUGCAGCUGGAAUAAAGCAGAAGGAAAGUGUGAACAAAAUUGUCAAGAAGGUGAAAUAUGCUGAAUAUUUUUUGCUCCAAUUGUAUAUAUUCUAGCUUUUUGUUGAAUUCAGUGUCUCAAUGUCUCAGUUUCCACCAAGUGAUUUUGUGGUGAUGCUUUUUCAUUAUGAUGGCGUUGUGGAUGCUUGGAGGGAUUUGGAAUGGAGUGCCCAUGCCAUCCAUGUCUCUGCUAUUAACCAAACUAAAUGGUAAUUAGAAGUUCUAAAAAAACUCAUUCAAAACAGGGCUUAAGCAUAUUCUCAGUAACUUGAUGUUCUGUAUUAUAUCCCAUGAUUAGGUGGUUCGCUAAGCGUUUCUUGCAUCCUGAUAUUAUCUCGGACUAUGCCUACGUUUUCCUAUGGGAUGAAGACCUUGGCGUUGAUAAUUUCAAUGGUAAAAGGUAUAAGUUUGAAUCCAGAGCCUGGUUAUACUUUCGGGAAAAUAACUUCUUUGGCAAGGCAUUCACAGUUUAAUUUUCGGCAAUCUAAACAUUUAUGCAGAUACAUUUCAAUUGUUAAAGAAGAAGGGCUUGAGAUAUCCCAGCCAGCACUUGAUCCUGAUCUAUCUGAGCUACAUCAUCAUCUUACAGUGCGUAACAACAGAACAAGAGUGCACAGGUUAUUCUCAGCAAGCUUGUUUUUAAAGAUAGUGUCGUUUCAAUUGAAAUUAAUUUUUCCGUUUGAUAGUUUUCUGGACUAACCUCUAAGGUUGGUGUUGCAUUGUUAACCAGGAAGAUUCACAAGUUGAUUAGUGGUGGAAGGAAAUGUGAUGUAAAUAGCACCAAGCCUCCUUGCGCAGGGUAAAUGUAUUUACAAGUUCAAAUGAUCGCAAGUCACCAUUGGUCUUAAGCCGAAAAUUCUCAGGCAUUUACGCAACACAUUCAAAUUAUAUAAUCAUAGGGCAGUAACAUGGAGUCUUACACUUUUUACAGGUUUGUAGAAAUGAUGGCACCUGUUUUCUCAAUAGCGUCCUGGCGUUGUGCAUGGCAUAUGAUUCAGGUAUAUAAUCUUUUAUUAGGACAUUUUGACAGGAAAUUAUUACUACUCAGAUCGGCAAAGUAUGUCUCUGAAUUUUCCUUCUUUACUUUCUCAAAUUCGUUGUCAGAAUGACUUGGUUCAUGCAUGGGGAGUGGACUUUCAGCUGGGUUAUUGUGGACAGGUAACUUUCCAAAACUACAAUCUUAUCAUCUGUUCAGCUUAGUCCCUUGAACACAUAUCUGAAGUGUAUCAUAUUCUUUGACUCUUGACAGGGUGAUCCAACAAAGAGCAUAGGCAUUGUGGAUGCCGAGUACAUUGUUCAUUAUGGUCUUCCUACGCUCGGAGGUCUGGUUGCAAAGAAGGUUAGAAACUCUGAUGAUCAUAUAUGUUCAAAUUAUGCUACUUAUAUUUAUAUGUAUUACUGAUGGCCAUUUAUCUACAGACAUCAUCAUCGUUGCAUCAGUCGGCAGCUAGAGAAGAGGUCAGUAUUUUUUGGGGGCUGUCUAUUUCUUAGCAGUCUUGGGAAGAGCUUUAAAACGCACUGAUAUGUUAAUUUUUGCAACUAUUUUAUGCAGGUGAGAAACCGGUCCUAUGUUGAAUUAGAGAUCUUUAAGAACAGAUGGAGAAGUUCUGUUAAGGAUGAUGACUGUUGGGUUGAUUUAUUAGAACAAUCAAAAUAGCCGAAGAGAUACUAGAAGCAUGAUAAAAUGAAGAGAAAGCAGCAUACUUGUGCAAUACUUUCUGCAUCAUUGAGGAUGCAUAAUAUUGUUAAAAUCCAAUACUUUUUUAAGUAUAAAUAAAUUUUUGUUUUUUUUACUUUUUAAAACUAUAUCUGUUCAAUCAUAUAUAAAACCUUGUAAUAGUACAUUCAUUCAAAUAUAGUAGUAAACACAACACAAAGGCAGAACUGUGAUGUAACAAUUCUGUCACUCUCUCAUCUCAGGAAUGACAAUGACAAUUCACAAGCUUAAAAACAAGAUGAAAAAUGAAAAUGAACUUGAUAUGUACUUCAUAAAUGUUAUCAUUGUGCUGCCAACAUGAAAAUUGGUCAUAAUUGUAGCUUAGUGCAGGAGAAAUGAUGCCAAAACAAGAUACAAAACCAAUUUUUGGAGAGUCAAUUACUUGGAAACAUUUAAGUUUCAUCCAAUUAAUCUCCUUUUGCGAAAAAUUUCAGAAAUAACUUUUCCGAGUUCUUCACCAGAAUCCUCCUGUACGUGAUGCCCUGCCUGCAAAAUGCAAACAAUUAACUGCAGUUUUAUUGCCAAGUACAAAUAGUUAAUGCAAAAACACUUGAGCAUGAUACCACCUCUGCACUUUUAAGAAGCAUCAAAGGGGAAUGGAAAUAUAAUUGAGCAUGUACAUUGAACAGCAACAGUAUUAUGUUAAUGCAUGAGAUAUAUCUGAUUCUACCAUUGGAAGUUCAAUUAGCUCAUGGUUUGAAUUGUUACAGAAAUCUUCAACUCCAUCAUAGUUCAACCACCGGUCUCUCUGUCCCCAGCAUACUGUAGUUGGAAUUUUCCAACUAUUAUCCAUGAGUAUUGUCCUCAUUUCUUCCACAUAUUGCUGAUAGUUAAAGCAGACAUAAGAAUAAACCAACUGGAGCACAUGAGCAGAAAAGAAUAAAAGGAAUUAGAAAUUAUUUUCACCUUUAGCUGCUUUUUCAUGCCUCUACUAAUGGCAGUCAAAGCAAACCCAGAGGAACCAGAGGAGAGAUAAGGACUUCUAUAAACCAUCGCAUCGUCCUCUUUCAUUUGAUAAGGACCACAGCUCGUCAAAGCUUUAUCACUAGCCCUUAAAGGAUCCUAUUUGGUUAUAGAAGAAGGUGAUUAAGUAUGUUAACUAUUGUGCUAAACCUUUUGAGGACCAGUUAAACUGAAAUUUUAUAUAAAUUUAACAAAGAUAAAUAAGCACAUAUGCAUUAGCGCCUGAAAACUCAAAGAAAUACAUACAGAAACCUGUGUGUUGUAAAAGUUGUAAUGUAGUCUGCCUACCUGAGAAAAAAUUUCACCGAGCAAAAAGUUGCUGAAUAUGGACAAGGUUGAUGGAAGGUUGGCAUGUUUCGCUGUUAGCUUGAGUAAACAAUGAAAGGGAGCAUCCAUUAGUUGUCACCAAUCAAACAAUUUUCUACUAUUCUGUCAUCAUUUGCUGCAUGCAUGUAGAAAGCAGAAUACUAAAUACUAUGAUAGAAAGAAAUUAAAGAAAUGCAUGGUCAAGAUUCAGGAGAUCCAUACAGGAGGAUUGAGGAGAAUUAGAUCCUUAAGCUUGUCCUUAUGCUUGCUAGCAUAUUUAACAACGACAGGCGAAAAGUAGCCCUGAGGGGUACAUAAAAAAUUGGAAGCUUUCAGUUUCAUGUCACCUAUAAACACAAUAGAUCAAAUUAACCGCUUACUUCUAUUCUACUAUUAAAGAAGGAGAACAUGCCUGGACAACAAGUGAGACCUUGUCAUUAGCAAUUUCAUUAACAAAGGACUCCAAGGAUGCCACAUAUUCUGCAUACCAUAAUGAAAAUUUACUAAAGAGACACAGUAUAUUUAACACUUAUCUGUCAUCAUUAAGGCUACUAAAGCAUUACCAUCCAAAUUAUAGUCAAAUCCAUAUCCGGGUUGAGGCUUCUCUGAAAAUCCAAAGCCUGUAGAAAUGAGAUGAAGGCAAAUUUUCUCUCUUAGCUUAUCUUGAAAGAUAUAAAUCUCAGUAAAUCCCCAAAACUCAACCUCAAGAACAAGAACUCAGAAUCUAUUACAAUUCAUCGUAAUUGGUAGCAUGAUCUUACCAGGCCAAUCAAAAGCAAUUGCAUGAUAGUUCUUAGAGAGCACAGGAAGGACUUUACGGUAGGAAUAUGCCUGUCAAUACAUUAAAUUAUCCAUAUGAAAGGAUCACCAAUGAAAAUGGACUAAAAGGAUUGACAGAGGAACACUUACUUGUGAAGGGAAUCCAUGAAUCAGCAAAACUGUAUGAUUAUCAGCAUUUCCACUUUCUACGCAGAACCAUCUAUUGCACAAAAUCAUAUAUAGAGAGCAUGUUUCAAUCGGUAACCCUGCAAAUAUCAGAUCUCAAUUUCUUCACACCAUACCGACUUUACGACACUAUAAGCCUACAUACAAAUUACCAAGUAAUGUUCCAUGGAAAAUACCCACUUCUACAUUAUUACCUGAAGAUCUCAUCAGCCUGAGAAGCAGAACCUAGGUCAAGUCCAAAAAUUGGGUCUUUUGCAGUUUCACCAGAACCAGAAACAGUAACUGCUUUCACCUGAAGCAAAAAGAAUUUAACACCCAAGAAGAGUUUCAAUACUUAGAAAUCAAACAUACUCCUUAACGCUUACUAUUUUCCCUUGCUUAAACCACUCAUCAGCUGGGGAUGACCCAUCUGAGUAUUUCCCUGCAUGAAAUAACCCCAUUAACAUUAUUCUGUGUUAAAAAUCUUGAAAAAGAAAUUUACAUUAAGAAAUUAUAUAAAUAAAAGUGAUGAAAGAUAUUGAAUGGUUACCUCCAAAAAAGGAAAAGCCAUCUCCCUCAGAAACAGGAGCAUCUAUAAGGUAAUCCUGAUAAAGAAAACAUAUAUGAACAGUUUACAAGGGAUAAAAAAGUUUAUGCAUGUAAUCAGAAAAGGCUCGAAAGUGAUCAAAUAUCAGAGAAUCAUGAGCAUACAUCUUCAUAUGUGCAACUGAUUCUUAAGCAUUUUCUGCGGUUCUUGCAAGCAGGUGACUUGAGCUGUCCAUGAACAAAUGAAGAAGUAGAAGCAGUUGGAGAGCUGGGGAGCAGCUGGGGAUGAUGAUGAGAGUGAAAUGAAAUUGUUUUAGCUUGAACUAUAGCCAUGGGCUAUUGCUGGGAGAGGGUUUGUGUUUUACUGAAUAAAUAUUCAAAGAGACCGUUAACCGCUGGCGUUGGCUUCUAACUGCAAAUUAAAUUUGGGUUGCUCAAAGGAGAGGUUGGUCCAAACAAAGUUGUGUAAGAGAUAGGACUUCUCUGGCUCUCAUUCUUCACUAAACAGCACUCACAUUUAAGUUAAUUUUUAUGUUUAUUCUCUCCCGAUGCUUAGGCUCAUAGCGAGAUUAAAAAUUAUACGCAGAGGGUAUAUUAUUGUCACCUUAUGCUCCUAACCCUUGUAAGUUCAACCCAAAAUACGACUACAUAUUUUAAGGAGUUCAUUAAGUAUUUAAAGGAGUUCAUCAAGUAUUUAAACUAGGCAAGAUCUUCUCUGGCUGGCGAAACCCUUUAGCGUGAUUUAUUGACAAGUGAAAAAUUCCGACUUUCUUAAAGAAAUAGGUUGAUAGAUAACACGUCUGGUGUUCCUCAUGAUCAGGAAAAUUUAUAUGAUUUGUUUCUUUGAUUAUUGUUAAAUGUAUGAUCUUCAAAAGUGAGUAUAGAUAUUUCAUUUUUGUUUUUUCCAUUCUAGUUUCAAGCAAGUAUUGUUACAAGAAAAUUUAACAAUAUCUUUAUUCUUUUUAUACAAAUAAUUUAACUCUUACAAUUGUACUACGACAGAUGAAGUGCCUUCAAUCCAUAUUCUCAAGUAACCGUAGCCAAAAUCAAUAGGUUUCAGUAACUGAAGCAAGUUUCAUUUGCAAUAAAAAUCCCAAACAGGUAGAUUUACAGAGUAGCAAAUUGAGAUACAUGGGAUCUUAAAACCAAAAAGUAGACGUUACAUAUUUCUAUUUAACGAAGUAAGGAAGGUUAAGGACAUAAAGCAGGAAAUAAGCCCAAAUGACACCAGAAAUUCCACCAAAGAAGAAUCCUCCAGUGAACUUAGCCCACCCAUCAGCUGUUUGCAACUGAUCAGGCUCCUUCUUCCUUCCGGUCAAUGUUAAGCCUGGAGCAGUGGAUGGCUCUCCUUCAUUGAAUGAAGCAAUUCCAUAGAUUGUCAAGCAAAUGCUGAGGAUCACAACAAGGCCACCAGCUGCCAAUGACCCUGCUGGUCCUGCUAUUUCUGUGUUUCUCAAUGGCCCUGCCUUAACAAAUGGACCCACAAGGAGGAAUCCAUGGGCCAACCC